CCUUUUAGGAACUGGAUUUGUUGGGCCUAUAAAUAGACUCAUACCCUACUCACUUAUACCUCAUCCAACGCUUAUUCCUCAUCCAAUCGGCAGAAAGGUAUAGAAAACUUUUCUUCUCCCUUUCUCUUUUUUUUUUUUUCUUUUUUUUUUGUGUGUGUGUUUUUUUUUUAUUCUGUUUUGUUUUUUUUUUUUUUUUUUUUGUUUUUUUUUUUGUUGUUUUGUUUUUUUUUUUUUUUUUUUUUUUUUUUUUUUGCAGGAAUGACUUUGUCGAGCUUCUUCUAGGGACGAUCGGGCUUUUGCCGUCAGAUCUAUCGCCCUAGUUGGAGAGAUCGACUCUGUCAUCGUCGGGCUUCGAUCUUCGUUUGCAGAAAUGACUUUGUUGAGCUUCUUCUAGGGACGAUCGGGCUUUUGCCGUCAGAUCUAUUGCCCUAGUUGGAGAGAUCGACUCUGUCAUCGUCGGGCUUCAAUUUUCGUUUGCAGAAAUGACUUUGUUGAGCUUCUUCUAGGGACGAUCGGGCUUUUGCCGUCAGAUCUAUUGCCCUAGUUGGAGAGAUCGACUCUGUCAUCGUCGGGCUUCAAUUUUCGUUUGCAGAAAUGACUUUGUUGAGCUUCUUCUAGGGACGAUCGGGCUUUUGCCGUCAGAUCUAUCGCCCUAGUUGGAGAGAUCGACUCUGUCAUCGUCGGGCUUCAAUCUUCGUUUGCAGAAAUGACUUUGUUGAGCUUCUUCUAGGGACGAUCGGGCUUUUGCCGUCAGAUCUAUCGCCCUAGUAGGAGAGAUCGACUCUGUCAUCGUCGGGCUUCGAUCUUCGUUUGCAGAAAUGACUUUGUUGAGCUUCUUCUAGGGACGAUCGGGCUUUUGCCGUCAGAUCUAUCGCCCUAGUAGGAGAGAUCGACUCUGUCAUCGUCGGGCUUCAAUCUUCGUUUGCAUAAAUGACUUUGUUGAGCUUCUUCUAGGGACGAUCGGGCUUUUGCCGUCAGAUCUAUCGCCCUAGUAGGAGAGAUCGACUCUGUCAUCGUCGGGCUUCGAUCUUCGUUAUCACCAAUUGAGCUUCUUCGUUUUUUUUUUUUUUUUCUUCUUCUUCUUAUUCUUCUUUCUUUUUGUUUUUUCUUCUUUUGCUUCUUUCUUUUUGUUUUCUUCUUCUUCUUCUUUCUUUUGUUUUUUUUUCUUUUUCUUCUUUCUUUUUGCUUUUUUUUUUUUUUUUUUUUUCCUUCUUUCUUCUUCAUCAUUUUCUUCUUUCUUCUUCUUGCUUCUCCCUUUUUUUUUUUUCUUUCUUUCUUGGUUGUGGUACUAGGGAGAAGAUGAAGAUGAAUCAAUCUAGCUUGCGACACCUUAGAGCUGAUGAAAAUGAAUUCCAUCGGCCGGGUUGUGACACCUGUUAGAUGAUAAAGAUGAAUACUCUCAGCUACGACAUAUAGGAGAAGAUGAAGAUGAAUCCUCUCGGCUAUGACAUAUGGGAGGAGAUGAAGAUGAAUUCUCUUCAGUUGCAGCACUUGGAAGAAGAUGAAGAUGAAUCCUCUCAGCUAUGACAUAUGAGAGAAGAUGAAGAUGAAUCCUCUCGGCUAUGACAUAUGAAAGGAGAUGAAUCCUCUCGACUAUGACAUAUGGGAGGAGAUGAAGAUGAAUCCUAUUCAAUUGCAGCACCUGGGAGAAGAUGAAGAUAAAUCCUCUCGGCUAUGACAUAUGGGAGAAGAUGAAGAUGAAUCCUCUCGGCUAUGACAUAUGAGAGAAGAUGAAUCAUUUUCGAUUGCAGCACCUGGGAGAAGAUGAAGAUGAAUCUUCUCAGCUAUGACAUAUAAGAGAAGAUGAAGAUGAAUCAUCUUUGAUUGUAGCACCUAGAAGAAGAUGAAGGUGAAUCCUUCCGGCUACGACAUAUGAAAGAAGAUGAAGAUGAAUUCUCUUUGGUUGCAACUCCUAAAAGAAGAUGAAAAUGAAUCUUCUUUGGUUGCGACACCUGAAAGAAGAUGAAGGUGAAUCUUCUCGGUUGCGACUCUUAGGAGAAGAUGAAGAUGAAUCUUCUCAGUUGCAAUUCCAAUGAGAAGAUGAAGAUGAAUCCUCUCGGUUGUAGCACCUAGAAGAAGAUGAAGGUGAAUCCUUCCGGCUACGUCAUAUGAAAGAAGAUGAAGAUGAAUCCUCUUUGGUUGCAGCACCUGGAAGAAGAUAAAGAUGAAUCUUCUUUGGUUGCGACACCUGAAAGAAGAUGAAGGUGAAUCUUCUCAGUUGCAAUUCUUAGGAGAAGAUGAAGAUGAAUCCUCUCGGUUGUUACACCUGAGAGAAGAUGAAAAUGAAUCUUCUUGAUUGCGACUCCUAGGUGAAGAUGAAGAUGAAUCAUCUCGGUUGUAACACAUGGAGGAAGACAAAGAUGAAUCCUCUCACUUGCGACACCUUAGAGCAGAUGAAGAUGAAUCAUCUUCGAUUGCAAAACUUAGAAGAAGAUGAAGAUGAAUCCUCUUCGGUUGCAAUAAGCUGAAGAUGAAGCAGAGGUUAAAGCUUUAGCAUUGCAUGCAUCUUCUUCAAGAGGCAGAAACGAUGUUACACUGUCGUUUUCAUCUUGGAGAGGCGAAGGCAGAGCUACCCGAUCGUCGUCCUAUCAAAGUUGUACCAUCGUUAUCCUCUCAAAGAGCUGGAGCUACAGCAUCGAUGAAGCCUUCAAACUUGAAUAUAAGGAAUCAUCAAUGAAACUUUUAUGCUUGAAUUUGAGGGAUCAUUAAUGAUGCCUUUGAGCUUGAUUUUAAGAUUCUUUUUUUUUCUUUUUACAUGCACUCAACUUGUACAUAGUCUUUGCACGGAGUUUGUACAUCUUCAAUUUAUUUCAUCUCAUUGUUACUAAAGAUGAACAUCUUGAAUUUAGGGAUUUGCCCCCAAUUUGUUAUGAUUCCUUAGUAGAGAUGAACACCCUUUGAAGAAAAGAAUUAACUCACGACGUAGUUCAAGGUUUUUUUUUUUUUUAUAAUGGUGGACUGAACUUAAAGUUUUCUUUAAGUUGCCUACGUACCCUUUAUAAUGUAGGGAUCAAGUCAUAACGUAGUUCAACUUUUUUUUUUGCUGGACUGGGCUUAAGGUUUUCCUUAAGCUGCCUACGUACCCUUUAUAACAUAGGGAUCAAGUCAUAACGUAGUUCAAUUUUUUUUUUGCUGGACUGGGCUUAAGGUUUUCCUUAAGCUGCCUACGUACCCUUUAUAACAUAGGGAUCAAGUCAUAACGUAGUUCAAUUUUUUUUUUUUUUUUUUUUUUUUUUACCUAACAAAAUUAAGCAUAAAAUUUCUUAAGAAAUUUACCAUUGAUUGGGCCAAUUCGUAGUCCGUCUUGAUCAACGAUCUUGUAUGCGCCAUUUGUAUAAACUUCUUUAACAAUGUAAGGUCCAUCCCAUUUAGGUGUGAACUUAUUUCCUGUAUGCCUUGUUGUGAUGAUCGGUCUCCUUACGGCAAGUACUAGAUCACCGACUUGAAAGGAGCGAGGUUUAACGUGUUUAUCAAAAGCUUUGGACAUUCUCGCUUGAUAACAUUCCAAUGCUUGCUGAGCCUCUAAUCGCUUUUCGUCAAGUGCUUCUAAUUCUUGAAGACGUAACUUCACUUUAUCUUCGGUAGUCAAUCCCUCUUGUACUGCCAUUCUUAGUGACGGAAUUUCCCUUUCGAGAGGAAGGACAGCCUCCACACCGUAAACAAGCGAAUAUGGUGUAACCCCUGUAGGGGUGCGAUGAGUCGUCCGAUAAGCCCAUAAUGCCUCGCCGAUCUUUUCUUGCCAAUCCCUCUUUGACUUGGAGACAAUUUUCUUUAAAAGAUUGCACAAUGUUUUGUUGAAUGCUUCUGCUAGUCCAUUCGCAGCUGCGUUGUACAUGGAUGACUUAUAUUGCUUGAAUUUGAAUUUUUCACAUAACUUGUCCAUCAUACUAUUGGAGAAUUGCUUUCCAUUAUCCGUCACGAUUCGAUGUGAAAUACCGUAUCGAUAGAUGAUGUGUGUUCGAAUAAAGUCUGCCACGUUCUCCUUCUUGGCUUCUCUCAAUGAAAUGGCCUCAGCCCACCUUGAAAAAUAGUCGUUGCUGCUAGGAUAUAAGAAUGUCCUGCUGAUGAUUUUGGUGUAAUGGGGCCAACCAGAUCGAGUCCCCAAGCCUCAAAAGGCCAAGAAGCCACAGUUGGAUGAAGAGGUUCUGGAGGUUGGUGUAUGAAGUUUGCAUGGUAUUGACAAGGCUCACACUUCUUCACAUAGUCUAUUGAAUCUUGGAUCAUCUUAGGCCAGUAGUAGCCCAUUCUUCUUAGCUGGAAUUGAAGCUUUGGUCCCGAUUGAUGUGCUCCACAAACACCUGCAUGUACUUCCUUUAGAGCUUUUACCGAAUCUUCCUUUCCGAGACAUCGAAGGAAGAGCCCUUCAAGAGAACGGCGAUAUAAAGUUCCCUUGUAAUAAAUGAAGUGUGCUGCCCUUCUUCGUAUCUCAAUUUUAUGACGAGAAUCCUUUGGAAGCUUUCCAUGUUCAAGAUACUCUAUGAUGGGUUGACGCCAAUCUUCUUCAUCAAUCAAAUAGGAUGUUGCCAUGUUCACUUCCUGACAUUCAGGCCUAACUGGGGGUAAUCCAUCGUUGACAAAGUGGUAUGUUCAGAGUUACAUCAUCUGGCAUGGUCAAGGCCGUGGCUAAAUUUGCCAAUGCAUCCGCUCUCUUAUUUUCUACUCUAGGGACAUGUUCUAACAUCACGUUAUCAAACUUUUCCAUCAAUUGUCGAGCAUAAGCAAAAUAUGGCUUCAAGUCUUCAUGUUUCACGUCAUAUUGAAGCGAGAGUUGAUUGAUUAUCAAUUUUGAAUCACCAUAGACUUCUAUGAAUGACACUCCGAUUUUUAAUGCUAUUUGAAGGCCAAUUAUCAAAGCCUGAUAUUCAGCCACAUUGUUUGAACACAAUUCGGAAAGUGCAAAGCUAUAAGGCAACAUAUGCUUCUCAGGAGAAAUGAGGACAAUGCUUGCCCCCGCACCACUUCUUCGAGCUGCACCAUCGAAGUACAUAGUCCAAGGUUCCAUAACUUCUGUGAAGAAAACCUCAUCGUCUGGUAGGUCAUCACAUAACUUCCAAUCCGAAGGAAUUGGGUGGUCUGCUAAAAAGUCUGCUAGCGCUUGUCCUUUUAUCGCCUUUUGGGGAAUAUAGACAAUGUCAUAUUGUUGGAGUAGAACCGCUCAUUUGGCUAAGCGUCCAGAGAUGAUUGGCCUGGAUAGAACAUACUUUAUAGGGUCUGCUUUUGCCACUAGAUGAACCGUGAAGGCCUGCAUAUAAUGCCUCAACUUAUCAAUGGCAAAGAAAAGUGCAAGACACAUCUUUUCGAUAGGAGAAUAGUUAACUUCAGCCCCAAUUAAUGUUCUGCUUAGAUAGUAGAGAGAACGCUCUUUUCCCUUUACCUCUUCUUGUGCCAGUAAUGCUCCUAAGGACCUUUCUUGUGCAGCAAUGUACAAUAUUAGUGGUUUGUCAGGUACUGGAGCUCCCAGCACUGGGGGAGUAAGCAAGUAUUUCUUUAUGCUAUCAAAAGCGUUCUGACAAGCUUCAUCCCACACAAAAUUUUCUCCUUUUCUCAUCAACUUUUGAAAAGGUUGACACCGACCGGCCAAGUUAGAGAUGAACCUUCGGAUGUAAGCCAGUCGUCCUUGGAGACUUCUUAGGUCAUGCAAACUUUUAAGUCUUGACAUCUUCUGAAUGGCAUCAAUCUUGGACUGGUCUAUUUCGAUCCCUCGAUGCCUUACAAUGAAGCCAAGAAAUUUUCCUGAAGUUACACCAAACACACACUUGAGAGGGUUCAUCCUUAGCUGAUAUUUUCGCAAGCGAUCAAACACGACUUUUAGAUCCUUCAAAUGGUCUUGUCGUCUCUUUGUUUUGACUACAAGAUCAUCAACAUAACAUUCAACAUACCUGUGCAACAUAUCAUCAAACACUUUCUGCAUGGCACGUUGAUAAGUAGCACCGGCAUUUUUCAAUCCAAAGGGCAUCACCUUGUAACAGUAUAUUCCCUUUGGAGUUCUGAAAGCUGUCAUUUCUUCAUCUGAGAGGGCCAUCCGUAUUUGAUUAUAUCCAGACGACCCAUCCAUAAACGACAACGCCUCGUGUCCAGUAGUUGCAUCAACCAUGAUUUCGGUGAUGGGCAAGGGAAAAUCAUCUUUAGGGCAUGCAUUAUUCAGAUCGCGAAAGUCUACACAAACGCGAAGUUGUCCAUUUUUUUUUCUAACAGGGACAAUGUUUGCUAUCCACGUUGGAUAUUUGACCUCGCGAAUGAAUCCUGCUUCGAUCAACUUGUUGACUUCCACCUCGAUUUGAGGGAUAAGCUCUGGUCAAAAACGUCGUUGUGCUUGUUUAAUCGGUCGAUAUCCAGGUUUAAUUGCAAGAUGAUGGACUGCUACUUUUGGGUCAAGUCCUGGCAUCUCCUUGUACGACCACGCAAAGAUGUCCCUGUAUUCGGUGAGCAAACUCAUAUAUUUAUCCACCUCUUCGUUAGAGAGGGACGCACUAAUGAAAGUCGGACGUGGUUCCUCUAUUGUACCAAGGUUCACCUCUUUUAGCUCGUCUACAGUAGAUUGGCCACCAUCCUCUAAACUUUGUGGGACAUUUUCUGCAUCUUCUUCAUGAGUUCCAGUCUCCGAUUCCUCAAUAAUGGUGAUGUGAUGACAUGAAGUUUCACAUUCCCCUUGUUCCGACCCUUCUUUUUCAGGAUUCGUUAGUAUAACAUCAUGUCUUUUUACCUUUAACGAACCUUGACUUGUAUUGAGAGUAACAAAAGUUUUUCUUUUCAUGCGAGAAGGAACGUUGCUAUGAAUUUCUCCAUUUUCCUUUGUCUCGCAAGGAAACUUCUUACUACGAUAAUUAUCGACAUCUGUAUGCUUAAUUCGACGCCAAACUUUCACACGAGACAUUGGUUCCUUCUUCUUUGUAUCUAUGUUGGAAUCAAUGUUGUCGUGUGAUCCUUUAUCCCCGAGAUGAUUAAAAAUCGGAGCACGAGGUGCUUGUACAUUUUUCUUUUUAGACACACCUAGCCUUUCAAAGGCUGAUGGUCUUGUAGUUGUCAAGGCAUGGCAUGUGCUUUCUUCCUUUAUGGGAGUCGUAGUUAGCCUUCGAAAGACCGAAUGUCUCUCAAGGUUUGGUACUGACUGGAGCCUUUCUCUUUCUGCCUCUGUCAUGCUUAGCCUUUCAAAUACUACGGGACGUGCAACAGAUGGUCUAAUUCGAUCAAAUACUGAGAUUCUCUGAUUAUCACCUUCUUUUACGUCAGUAUUGUCAUCCUCCUCUAUAGUUAUAUGAUUGAUGUCAACCACUUUUUCCUUCCCCUUUUUAGUUAUACGGAUCGGUUCUGGCGACUUGUAUCCGAGUCCUUUUCUCGACACGGGUAUAGAAUGUCCUUCCCGUAGAAGCUUCUUUUGAGUUGAGGAGAGCUCAGGUCGGUCAUGAAUUUCCAAGCUUUUAAACUCGGUGUGAGCUGUGAAGUCAUAACCUGCUUUCGCCAUCAAUUUGUAAGCCUUGGGGUCGAAUCCGUCUUUCGUUCGCCUUUGGGGCAAGCUUGCUUCCACCAGAUCUACCUUUACCUCUUGCUUCGCUAUCUUAGUUAGUGGUGUAGUGAAGUUUUCUUUUAUGAUUUCGAUGUCCCCAACUUUCAAACCUUUUGGAGACUCCAUGAAUGGUGAUUCGCCUUUCUUGCGCCUUGACAGAGGGACAUAACGCAAAACUGGUGUGUUUGCAGCAUUUUCAUUCUUCAAGAUCAUACCCUUUGUGCUGCGAGUGUAUGUUUCACCCUUUCCAGAGUUAAAGGUUCUCGCACUUUCAUGUGGUUCUGUGGUUGCGAGUGAUUUCAGUUGUGAAUUAUCUUCUCCUUUUGUAAGAGGGGUUUCUGCAGGCAAAACUUCUAAAAUAUUAUUAUUCUUUGAAUAAAACUUUGCAUCUGCGAAGUGAGACUCAGCUUCUGAGAAUGGAUUAGAGUCGGCUUCAACCUUCUUUACACCGUCCUGAUAAAAUUUGAAGCACUGAUGCAGUGUUGAAGUUACUACUCCGUUUCCAUGAAUCCAAGGACGCCCUAGUAACAACUUGUAAGUAGUCCUUGAGUCUAUGACAUGAAACAAUGCACUGGCCUUUAGGUCGCCAAUUAUGAGUUCUAACCGUAUCAUGCCUAUUGCUCUUUGGCUACCUUGGUUAAAACCUUGAAUUACUAGCUUGCUAUUUGAGAGCUCGUCCAUCAAGAUGCCUAAUUGCCACAUAGUCGACUUUGGCAUUAUGUUGACAGCUGAGCCAUUAUCAAUGAGGAUUCGAUCGACUCUCUGUUCUCGAACGUAUCCAGAAACAUACAAAGGUCUAUUAUGAAGUUUAGAUCCCAACAACAAAUUCUCAUCUGAGAAGUCUAUAGACAUACAAUAAGAACCACUCUCAUAUGUCAUAGUCGGAGUACUCGAACUUGAUGCUCUUGAAUUUAGCAAUGCAUCAAUAAGGAUGGUUUUGGUCUCUUGAGGAAGUGAUAAUAGAUCCUCUACAUUAAACCUUGAAAGGUCUUUUGAUACUCCCUCUCCUUCUAGUGAUCUUGGAGGGAUUCUUUCUUCCUCCGUUGUGUUGAUAGCAUGACACGCAACGACUUCUGGGUCUUCAUCCUGAUGAUCACAAAGGAAGCUUUUUGGAAGGAAGUCUGCCAAGGUCACUAAGCGUUGAGGUCGAGAGAAAUUCAUGUCUUCAUUAUGUACGAGCUUAAGCUUAUGAGUCUUCUUCUUUUUCUUAUUCUUUUGAGUCUUAUUUCCUCUUCUAUAGUUUUGGUAAGAGCGAGACUCUCUUUGGGUCGGGAUCGACUGCCUUUUCUUUCGGUGGGUCACCACUAUCCACCCUUCAUCGUCUUCUUCGAUUGGUCUUUUCUCUCCUUGAGGAUCCUCGUAUGAGAUUUCCUGAAAGAAUUGGACAACUAUAGGCUCAAAGGUCCCGAACUGGACCAAGCUUUUCCUUUGCUCAAAAAUCAAUCUCGACGAAGAAGCCUCAGACAUUAUCGUCACUUCAGCGUGGUUUGUUUGAGCUACUUCCUCCAAAUCUAGCUCAAUCCUUUUCUCACGAGCCAACCUUAGAAUUAGCUCCUUCAGCACGAAGCAUUUCUCUACUGGAUGACUGAUGACCCGAUGAUACUUGCAGUAAUUGGAUCAUCUACCUUUCCUGCUUGCUCAGGUCGUUUACAUUCUGGCAGCUGGAUCAGCUGCUUCUCUAGUAGUUGCUCUAGCAUGUCAGCGAUAUCUGAAUCAGGAAAUGGGUAAACUUUUUCCUGUCUUUCUUUUAAAGUCAGACGUCGCCUUUCGCUUCCAUCAUCCUUCUUUUCAACCCUCGCUUCCUUUCCUUUGGAGAAUUUCAGCGGGGUUGUGUUUACGACCAUAGAUUCUUUCGCGGUGCUUUUCACUAUCUUUUCAGCACCUUUCAUCUCUUUCUUAUCUUUCUUUACUUCAGGAACAAGAAAAUCUUUAGUUCCUCUAGUGGCGAUGCUCAACUCCAUAUCAUGAGCUCGAGUUGCCAGUUCUUCAAAUGUGCGGGGCUUUAUUCCCUGCAAAAUGUAGAGGAGUCCCCAGUGCAUGCCUUGGGUGCACAUUUCUACAGCCGACAGUUCGGUGAGCCGAUCUUUACAGUCAAGACUUAGAGCUCUCCAUCUAUUGAUGUAGUCGAUGACUGGUUCUCCCUUUCUUUGUUUCGUAUUUGUAAGCUCCAUCAUGCUUACAGUACGCCUGGUGCUGUAGAAGCGAUUGAGAAACUCCUUUUCUAGUUGUUCCCAACUCUCAAUGCUUUCUGGCUCCAGAUCAGUAUACCAUUCAAAAGCAUUUCCUUUCAAGCUUCGAACAAAUUGUCUGACUAGUUGAUCUCCUCUUGAUCCUGCAUUCUCACAUGUUUCGACGAAGUGAGCAACGUGCUGUUUUGGAUUGCCCUUUCCGUCAAACUGCUGGAAUUUUGGAGGCUGAUAUCCAAGCGGCAUUCUCAAGUUGUCGAUUCUUUUGGUGUAUGGUUUAGAGUACAUGAAAGAAGUCUGAGAUGGGCCUCCAUAUUGUGCUCUGAUGGAGCUUGUGAUCAUAUCUUGUAAUUGUUGAACCGAGAGAGAAGCCACAGAAGUUGAUUGUUGUUGUGGCUGAUUUUCUUGUACCACGUUCUUCCCUUUGUCAUCAACUUUAACGACAGGAGUUUGACUCGAUUCAGCAGUUUCACGAGUCUGCAUCUGCUCCUUUAAAGCUGCAAUUUCGUGGUCUCGUUCAUCAACAACCUUCAUCAGGAGAUUAAUUUUUCUCUCCAUCUCCGCCAUGGCAGUCUCGACUGCUACAUCAGCCAUCAUGACGGACAUCACAUCUGGGUGUGCUUCUUUCAGUGACCUGCUAGAGGCAGAAUCAUAAUCAUUAUAUAGAGGAUUUUCCUUGAUGACAAUUCCAGCUUUAGGAGAUUCCAUCAAUUGCUUCAGGAUGCUCUGCGCGAUAGCGGAACCUUGGUCUUGCCCAUGGAUGAUCCCCUUGGAACGACUACGGGUGAUAGGUCCCGUGUAGGUGUCGCUUGCAGCUGAAGAUUUGGAUGCAGCUUUCUUUGAUGCCAUUGGUUUGCUUGUAGAUGUAGAUGAUGAGAGAGAGAUGAGAGGUAGAGAUGGUCCCACUGGCGUGCCAAUUUGUUCGCACGAGAUUUCCGGAGAAAUUUAAUUCGUGGACUUGAACUUGGGUUGAUGUUGUAUUUUUGUUGAUUUGAUGCGAUGCGGUUCAAUCUCUAGAAUUUGAUCCUCUGAUUCUCUCUCAACUGUAUGUCUACGCUUGAUUUGGGGGAAGCGGAGCACGUGAUGUUCUUGAAGUUUGUUGAACGUCUACGCUUGAUUUUGGAGAAGCGGAGCACGUGAUGUUCUUGAAGUUUGUUGAACGUCUACGCUUGAUUUGGAGAAGCGGAGCACGUGAUUUUCUUCAAGUUGGUUGAAUGCUUACGCUUGAUUUGAGGAAGCGGAGCACGUGAUGUUCUUGAAGUUUGUUGAACGUCUACGCUUGAUUUGGAGAAGCGGAGCACGUGAUGUUCUUGAAGUUUGUUGAACGUCUACGCUUGAUUUGGAGAAGCGGAGCACGUGAUGUUCUUGAAGUUUGUUGAACGUCUACGCUUGAUUUGGAGAAGCGGAGCACGUGAUUUUCUUCAAGUUGGUUGAAUGCUUACGCUUGAUUUGAGGAAGCAGAGCACGUGAUGUUCUUGAAGCUUGUUGAACGUCUACGCUUGAUUUGGAGAAGCGGAGCACGUGAUGUUCUUCAAGUUGGUUGAAUGCUUACGCUUGAUUUGAGGAAGCGGAGCACGUGAUGUUCUUGAAGUUGGAGUCUUGGGAGAAAGUUUGUAUCUUCAAAACAGCUUCAAUCUUCGAGGGUGGUCAACUUCAGAAGUUAGGGAGUCUUCUAGCUUUUGGAAGAAUUCUCUUCUAGCUUUUGGAAGAAUUCUCUCUGGAUCUUCUAGAGUCAAAAUUUUCCAACCUCUACAAAUGAGAAGAAUUCCUCUAUUUAUAGAGUUUACUGGUGGGCUUUAUGGGUUUGAAUCUGGUUGGUCCAUGGACCAGACCCAUGGGCUCAACCAUAUGGACUUAGGUUAUAUUUAGUCUUUGGGCUCAAUUAAGCUUUUUUUUUUUUUGGCUUAAUUGAACUUAGUCCAAGUAAAUAAUAUUUAAUUGAACUAAAAUGAUUAACUUAAUCCAACGAUUAAUAUGAAAACAUGUGGCAUUCUUAGAAUGACCAAUUUAUUUAUUUUAACUCUUUAAUUUGGAGCAUGUGUCAAUUUUAAUUAGUCCCAAAUUUAAUUAUUUGUAUUUUUCAUCAUUAACUUAAUAAAUGAUGUGGCAACUUGUGAUUGGUCUCAAAAUUUCUUAUUCAACACCCAUUAAUUUCAUUUGGAUUAUGAUGUAAUUAGACAAGGGCAGAAACGAUCAAUCAUUUCAAAGAAACAACAAAGAAUUAGGUAACGACAGACCCGUAUGGACCAGAAAAGAAAAAUAAAAUAAAAAUCUUUAUUAAUUUUUAUUUUCUCAAGUAAAAUCACAUCAUGAUCAAUGGUAAGUACAUGCAGUAAUAAAAAUUUAAAAACAAAAUUGGUUUUUUUUUUUUUAAAGAAAAAGAAUACGUAACAUUCCAUUUGAUGAAGCACAUCGAACAAGUAACGCCAACCAUUCAAAUUUUAAAUGUAAUCAAGAAGCAUUAUUAUUCUUAUCGUUAAUUUUGAUUCACCACAAAAAUAAAAAAUAAAAACUAAUAAUUAUUUAACGAAAGGAAAAUGGGCAUUCCCGCCGCAAUAACGGCGAUUGGAAAGACAAGUUACCAAAAACUGCAAAACAGUCCCUAUAUUUUAAUGCAUUCACAUUGAAUAGCCCCCUGCUUCAAUCCAAUUUACAAAACUACCUCCACAAAUUUACAGAAUGGGGGAAGUUCAACCGGAUGCACUAUGAUCACUCCCAUCUCUCUCUGUUUUACCAGAACCACAUGAAAUUAUUGGAAUAUAGUUCGUUCAAUUAACUUUCUAUUCAAUAAUCGCAACAAAUAGAAAGAGAAAAUUGAAUAUUAUAUAUAUGGAUUUAUUUGAGAACUCACGGAGUAAUGAUCUCAGGCGGUUUGUCCAGGGGCUCACCGCUGGAACUGGAAGAGAGAGAAGGAUUAGAAGGGAGAGGAAGAGGAGCGUCUGAUAAUCCAGCGGAGUCUUCGAUGAGUGGAGUAGUAGUUGUAGUAGUAGUAGUAGUAGUGGUAGUGGAGGUUGGAGGGAAAUCGGAGUGGAUCCGGUGAGAGUGAGGGAAUCGAGAAGGUUGAGGUUGAAGAGAGUGGAAAUUCCAACCGAAUUCGGUGAGGAUGGUGGAAUCGGAAUCGGGAGGGAAGAAGAAAAGAGCGUCGGAGGGGGAAGUAGAGGAGGAAUCGGCAGUGGAGAAAAGAGGAUGAGGAGGAGGAGGAGGAGGAGGAGAAUCGGCCAUUAAUGGAAGAGGAAGGAAGAAGUGAGAGAGAGAGAGAGAGAGAGAAAGGAGAGGGGAAUUAAUGAAUUAAUUAAAGAGAGAAUUAGGGUUUGAGAAGAGAAAGGGGAAAUGGAGUGUACGUUGAAGAAAGAAAAAGAAGAAGAAGAAGAAAUGGAAAGGACGCGUAAUUUUUUCUUUUUCUUUUUUCUUUUGGUUUUGGGUUUUUGAACUUUUUGAAAGGUUUUGGAAAGCAAUGUCCCGUCAAUAUACAGUUGCGAUUGAGAGAAACGUAGAAGGAGGAAGGGAAAAAUAAAAAGUAAAUUUUAAAUUUAAAAAAUAGAAAGAAAAAAAAAAGCCUCAACUUCUUAAGAAGAACUAAGUCAUGGACGGAGGGUGGCUCCCCACGCGCCCAUCUAUUCAAUUUUACAAAUAUUCAUUAUUACGUUUAUUUUUUGUUUUAAUCCUUAACUCUUAUUUCAACUCAUUUUUCCUUUUUUUCAAAAAAUAAAAAAUAUAUAUUAUGUUUCUUUAUAAAUUUUUUUAAACUAAAUUUAUAAAUACACCUCGUUAAUUGUUGAUGAUUAAACACUACAAAUAAAAUGAUAUUUGAUUUUUAAAAUUUAAUAUUUUGUCUUAUAAUUUUAAUUAAAAAUUUGUGUGCUUAUGUUCGUUGAAAUUGGUGAAAGUAUAUCGUGAUAGAAAAUUUUAGAAGAAAUUACGAAGAUAAAUUACAAACACAUAAAACUAAAAACGAGAUUGUUAAUUAGUGAAUAGAGUCCUAAGAGUUUAUUUCUUUUAUGAAAAUUGGAAUAUCUAGCACGUGUGACAAUGACUCGGAAAGAUAUGACAAUAUUUUUGUUUCAAUUUCAAUCUUGGUCAUUAGUUGUUGUAGCCUUCCAAAUAAUCUCUAACUUUUGUAAUAGUCCAAUAGAACCAAACAUUAUAUUACAGCCUUUACAAGAAUUACAAGUAUUUUUGUAGUUUGGACUCUAUCUCUUAGUAAAACAUUUAAAUUCUCAUCCAAAUUUAAAAAUACAUAAAAAAGAAAAAGUUUAUAAAAACUAUAUUUUUAGUUUUCAAACAUUUAAAUUACUAGAUAGCAAAAUAAACAAAUUGAGGAGUGAAAGCAAAGUUUAAUAAUCUUUAACUUUUAAAAAAUUAAAAUUUAUAAAUCAAACAACAAUUUAUAAUUGAAAAAUAAGUUCAAAUGUUUAAUGUUAAUUGUAACUGAAGGGUUAUGAAUUAAGUUUUGGUUUAAUUUAUGUUUUAAAACGUGGAGAUUAAAAAAAAUUAGAGGAAAAGUUUAGUAUUAAAAUUUGAAAUUUAAGAAGGGAAAGAAAAGGAAUGAUAGUUAGAAAAAUGACCGUAAAAAGGGUAAAAUGAAGGCACUUUCCGACGAAAAGGAAGGCCAUGUUUUUCUGUACCAUCACCUAAAUUCUCCUUUUCUUUUUCUUUUUAUUUCUUUUUUGAUCUCUAAGUUAUUGUUUUUAUUUUAUUUAUUUAUUUUACACAAAACUUCCAAUCUCUCUUCUUCUUUUUCUCUCUCAUUGUAUUUAAUUUUACUGAAUGCAAUGUUUCCCUUUUUUUGUAUUAUCUAUAAACCAAUCAUUUCAUAUCUAAAAUGGAAAAAGAAAUUAAAAACACUUUUCAAAAACAAAUAAUAAUAAUGAAAAUGGAAAGAUCAAAUAAAAUAAAAUAAAAUAAGAAAGCUACUUUUUUAAAAUUUGUAAAAAUAUAAAAGAAAAAACAAAAUGAAAGUUUGUUUGGUUUAACGGACGAUCUUGUUUUUCUGUUUGUGAUUUUUGAGCAAUAAUUUAGGUCAAUUUGUAUGUUUUAAUUAGUUGAAAUUAAUGAGUUUAGGUAUAGAUUUAAUUGAUUAGUAAUAAUACUAAUAAUGAUCUAAUGAAGUAGUAUGAUAGAUAUGCACAUAAAUGAAAAUGGAUCUCGAAAAUCUCGAAAGUAGAAUUUUAGUAUAAGCGCAUAUUCCGAUGGUAGUUCAAACGUACUGUUCAAGGGUUACUUAAUUAAUUAAACUUUCUUAUCAAAGUAGCGAUCUAACUCAUUUGAUAAGAAAAUGCAUCCAAUGUAUAGAAUUGUGCAAACCAACUACGCAAGAUCUUGAUUGAAACCCUAGUCGAUGGCGACAUGAUGGCCCUAUUGGAUGGUGACCAUCCGUGUGAGUGCUAGCACAUCCCUCUUUUGAAUGGCACGAUGUUGACACAUUGCCGCCUCAAAGAAAAAGGCUAUACAUAACCCUAUAAAAGCAUCUAAUGCAACCUUUAUUCACAUGUAUUACACAUACUAGCUAUCGUUAUGAUUGUACUCGUUUGUUAUUCACUCUCCCCAAAUUUCACUUUAAGUUGUUUACUCGCGUUAAUUAGAAUAGCUAUAAUGUUAAAUUUUGUUGAGUUUUGAUAUUUUCAUUUACACGAUCACAUUUACUCCAAUUACGUCUAUUUUAGGGUUAGCUAUACCGUAUCUACAUAAUAUACGUGUGAAGAUUUAUCAUACUUAUUCUCCUAAAACAAGAAACAAGGUAUAUGGAAUAUUAUUAUUAUCAUAAAUAUUGGAGAAGGAAUUUAAGAAUUUAUACCCAAACUCACUUUGUUGUUUUAAUUAUUUUAAUUUUUUUUCCCCUUUCCCUAUUAGAAGCUAUAUUGCAUUUAGUAUCUCUAUUAUUUAUGGGAUUAUUAUAAUUUUAAGUUAAAGUAGCUAUCUCAAUACCACUAUUAGUAAAUAGCUCAUUACUAUUACACAUACAUUUAUAUAUAUUUAUUAUAAUCUAGAAAUGAAAGUGAAAUACUAAUUAUUAUAAAGUUUUAAAGGAUUACAUUUAGCAUGCAUCUAUGUAAUUACAAGUAGUUAUGUAAUGCAUGCACAUAUUGAAUAUAUUCUAAAUUUGUACGUGGAGAUCAAAUUCUAAUUAAUUAUGUUCUUUUAAUUUUAUUUUAACAAUAUGCAGAUGAAAACAUUCGAAUUUAUAAUCUCUCUUGAUCGAUAAUUUUAGAUUUUAUAAUAGUUUAGCGUUUCAAUGUCUGCACGAAUUGAGAUAUAUCCAGGUGCACUCAACUGACCUAUCGUAUAUUUUUCGAAAAAAAUAUAUGUAUAAAUUGAGAGGUUUGAUUCUAAAUGUUUUUAAAUUCAAAAUGAUAAGAAUCUAAUUUGUAACUCGAACCAUAGCUACAUUUUGGCCUAUGUACACACCUUAUUUUAUACGAUAAUUUAUUUUAGAUUUCACUAAUUAUUACGUGAAAGAGAUUAUUUUUGCAAGAUUUUUAUAGCGUUUGUUUAGAAAAACGUAAGAAUCUAAGUUAUUGGAUUGGUUUUUUAUAUUCUUCUAUUUACUUACAUUAGUGAUAUCAAUUUGGAAGGAAUUGGUGUCAGCAACAAAACAUUAUUUGUAUGAUAUAAUUGAUUUUUGGGAGAUUAAUUUCCUUAUAUUCAACACAUUCUUUUGUAGAAGCUUAGCGGAGAAAUUGCAUAGUUAUGUAAUUAAUUAUGAUACAACUAAUUAAAACCUUACGCAAAUUGCACAUAAUCUCUCAAAUAUAUAAGAGAAGAAUAUUAUUGAAUCUUAGCACUUAUGGAAAGGGAUUUGAUCAAUACCAAUUCCAACCCCAAUUUCAUGUCAUCAAUACUAUAAAAUUAUGGACUUUAAUGUCAGUUCAAAACUGACACUAAAAUUUUCUUUAUCAAAAUUUAAACUAUUAUUCCAACCCUAGAAUGAUUUCAUGUCAUCUACUUUUGUUUUUUUUUUUUUUUAAUUAAUUGAUUACAUAAAGAAAAUGCAAAGUAAUGUUUAUUAUUAUUAUUAUUAUUAUUAUCAUUCAUAUAAGCAAUUAAUUAAUUAGACGGUUACCAACUUGAAGUAUUAUUUUGGAAGUAGGUUUUUAAUAAUUUGAUGGGCGUUGGGUGAUGAGGAGUACUAUAGUAUAGUGUGUCCUCCCAAUUUUAAUGCCCUAAACCUAAGCAUAUAUUUAAUUAUGCUAUUAAAAUUUCUAAUCACAAUCCAUUUUAUUUUAUUUUUAUGCUCUAUGGGCCUAUAUAUUUUCAAUGAUAUAUAUAACAAUAUUCACUUUUCGCGGGUCACAUCCUAUCAACCUAUCUUAUGGUUGUGUGAUUGUACGAUAACUCAUAUUCAUUGUAUUAAUUAAAAAGUUUAAUUAACAUAGUUUGAUGUAGUACUUAGGGAUAUGAACGCAUAUGGUUAGACAUAAUAGCUAAUUUAAAUCCUCAACUUUUCUUAUUUUUUAGAUAUAUAUAACAUUUAAAAAAAAAUUAAAGGUCAAGUUUUUUAAUCGUUUUGUUUCUAAAAUGAAACCUAUAUAAACCUCUUUUAUCUUUAGGGUGGAUGAGUUUGGUAAUAGAAUUUAGGCUUUUAAAAUAGUGUAAUUCAAAACUCAGGUUUGGAUUGAACGUUUUGGGUCUGGUUUAUAAUACCCAAACCAAUUUUGUUUUCACAUUUCUGAACUCGCGCCCUCUUUUUCCACCAUUUUCACGUUGCACGAUCUCAUUUUCUUUCCGCCCUCAUUUAUUCCUCAUCCAUUCUAACGCCCAUCAAGUUCUUAGAAUUCUUGAUUAAAUCUCAUGCUUUGUUGUCUAUUUUUUACCAAAAUGGUGACGUGUAAAACUAUUCAUCUUAAUUCACUUAUUACUUAAAAAAAUCCUAAUUCACUUCCAAUUAUUUCUCCUUAGGAUAUAUAUUUUCAAAUGUUUUAAAAAUGGGAAUUUAUACAUUGGAGUUUUACUUGAAUGCCCCUUUUGUAUGCAUAAAUUUAGGAUGACAGGGAAAGGGUAAAAAGGUAAUUUUGAAGCUAUUGAUCUAUAGAUGUGGUUGCAAAUGAAGAGGUUCUCUAUUAUUCCAAAACUCCUUUUUAGGGAAAUUUAAUUUAAGCUAAUUUAGAGGGUCUUGUUUUAGUAAUGAAGAAAGAGUACUAAACCUAACAAGUAGGUUUGGUAUUAUUUUUUUUUUUUGAUAUCCAACUUCCCAUUUAUAAAAUUUUAGAUUACACACAACAUAUAUAUAUAUAUAUACCUAAAAAUAUCAACAACAUAAAGUGAUUAUAAUUUAAAGUACUAUAAAAAGCUUAACAAACAUGACCCUCAUCCGUGUUUUUGCAUCCGCAAUUUAAAACAUAAUCAAUCAAUAAAAAUAGAAUAAUUUUAUAAUUCAUCGUGUUUACCACACUUUAAUUACAAUGCAUGGGAAUCAAACAUUCGUACCUUCAAUCUUCAAUUAUAUAUUUUUUAUCGGAGUGAAAAUGAUAGACCGAACAAAUAUUAAUCAAGUUGAUUAAUCAAAACCGAUUUAACUAAGGGUAGUUGGUUGAAAUUGAUUUAAAGAUUUACUAGAUCAAUCUUAGUAAAUUCAUUAGUGAUUUCGUUAAAAUCCAACUUGUACCAACAAUGCUUACUCCAAAAUUUACUAAAUUUCGUUUACUAUAUUACAAAAAUAUAAUUUCAAAAUAAAAAUAAAUAAAUUAUUACAUUAUCUUAUUUUGUCAAUUAAUUACAAUAUUAGUUCAUUUUGAAUUUUUUUUUUGUCUAUUUUAAAAGUAUUCAUAAUAAAAUUAUGCUUUUUGUCAAAAUUGAAAAUUGAAUUAUUGAGUGAGUGUGUUUUAUAUUCUUAAUUUUAAGUUAAUUAAACAUUAUCCUUUUUUUUUCAAAGUAUAAGAUUUUGAAUAAAUAAAAAUGAAAAAGUGACAUUUUUAAUUCUUAGAACUGAAUAUUAUUUCUUAGAUUCUCUUUUUUUUUAAAUUAACUUUAAAAUUAAAAUAUAAAAAAUAUUUCAUACUACCUAAGCUUAAAAAAGAAAAGAAAAAGAAAAAGAAAAAGAGAAACAAUAUCAAACAAUUAUUAACAAUUAAAACUAACUAUCUAAAAUUAAUCAAAUCAACUAUUAAUCACAAAAUUAUAGUCUCAUACAUGUGAUGAAACAUACAUUCAACCAAUUCAUAUUUGUUCUAAAAUUUAGAGAAUCGUUGAAACGAGAGAUUAUUUGAUUAUUCGAUUCUUCGACGUUUAAAUAAAAAAAUUAAAUCAAAUAUAUCAAAAUAGAUAAAUUGGUUAAUAAUCUAAUACUUGAAAUGUCAAUAUAUAUGAUUUAAAAAAAAGAAGAAGAAGAAGAAGAAAUUGGUGAAAGAAAAUAGAAAGGAAAGGAAGGGAUUGUGAUCACGUGGUUGAUUGAAGGGAAUAUUUAGAAAAAGGAAAGAGAGAAAGGGGAACUAAUCAGAAUCUUUCUUCUUUCUUCUUUUCCUUUUAAUUAAUAAGCUAACUUGAUUCUAAAGCAAAAAUCUCAUUUUCACCCCCACACCCCUAUACUAUUUCCUUUUUACAUUACCAACCCAACCAACCUUUUCUUUCUUUCUUUUUUCUUUUUUCUUUUUCUUCCAUUAUCACCUUUUUAUAUAUAAUUUAUCUUUUUUUUGUACGAAGUAUAUAAAAUUAAAAAAAUAGAUCAUUCUAUAUGCGGAUUAACAUCUUACUCUUACUCCUUUCUCUUCUGUUAAGUACUCUCUAUUCUUUAUCGCUCUUUGCUCAGUAGUGAUGAGAAUCGAGAGCCUUCCGCACACAUGCAUGAUAAGGUGGUUUUGGAAAAAAAAAUCUCAAAAGUGGGGUAAAUUUCAUUAUCUGGAUAUGAAAUGUGGAUCAACGGUGAUUAUUUGCCUUUUCAAACUUACACAAUCCUAAAACUUUUAAAUAAAGUGUAUGGGUUGUUUAUUGAAGAAACUUUUUCUCUCAUGACUUUACAAUCUACACGAUUGUUGGAUUCCCUUGAAAAAAACAUACCUAAUUGGCUAAUUUCAAUAUCAAGUUGUCCCCUCUUUACCUAAAAAUCCACCGUAUGAUGUAUGAACUAAUUUCCUUUUUCCAUUUUUACCCAAACAACGCCACAUCCUUAAAUCUCUUACAAUCUUAUCAAAAUAGAAUCGUUAGCUUAGUUACGUUAAUCAAAAUUUCUCAUCCUCAAAAUUCACUUACCCACAAUCAAACAACAUAAAAUUUAAAAAAGUUGCAAUAAUAGAAAGAAAAAAAACCAUAGAGAUAAAAACGAUAGACGACCAAAAAAACAUAGCCGAGCAACAUCGAAGUCGAUUUGGGUUGAAAAACAAGAGGGUUUGGUUUCGGAAAGCUUUAAAUCAAGAAUUUUUCAAAAGUAUUUUUAAGUGUUAAACCGAUUAAUAACCGACUUUUAUCGACAGUGAUCAUCCCUAGUAAUUAAUGUGAUAUCUAUUAUAUACUCGAUGGAUGGAUGGAGGAAGGUUAAGAUGACGUAUUAGUGUAUAUUAGAAAUUGUUUUUCACUUUUUGGUGGGUCGUACGAGCAUUUGAAGGACACGUGUUAGAAGAUGAAGGAGUACCCCACAUUGUCAAUUCAAGAGAUUUUUGGAGAUUUCAACUUUUUGGUAAGUGGAGGGAAAGCCCAUUGCCCACACACAAAAUAUCUUUACUUGCUUCCUUAUCAUCUUCAUUACUUUCUUUCUUUUCUUUUCUCUUUUUAAUUUAGCUAAUCAAAUCUUAAGAUAACAUAUUUAGUUGGUUAUAUUGGUCAUUAUUAGUCCUAAUUUUAAUUAAUUAACUUCUCAUAAGUGUGAAUAAAUUAAUUAUACCUUUGUGUAUGGUUGAAAGGUCUGUCAAUAUUGGAAAUGAUAUCUCAAGACUUCCUUUUUUUACUAAAUAAAGUGAAGCCUUAGUUUUCAUAAUUCACUUAAUUUUGGUUUCAUUUGUGUGGUAAUUUAAUCAUCUCUAUCCCAAACAAACACACUCCAUCAUGUCAUUAACAAAAAAAAAAAAAAAUCUAAAUUUAAUACGAAAUUUCACAAAUAUCCUAAAUUAAAAUUUAUUAUUUUAAUUAGAAUUUGGUAUAUUUUUAGAACAAUUUUAACCUUAUUUUCAUUAUUUAUUAUAUAUGAUUUUCAAAGUUAAUUUUAAAUUAUUUUCAUAUUCAUGUUAAGCUAAAUGAUAACUUUUUUUAUUUAUGUUAUUAUUAUGGAAAUAGAUAAAUCCUUUUUCUAAUAUGAAAUAAUAUAAUAAUUAAAUAUAAAUUUAUAUAACUAUUUUCAUUACCUUAUAAAAAAAUCUUAGAAAUUUCUUUCCGAGCUGGCAAUGAGUUCUUCAUCUUUUUUUUUUUGUGAUUUGUCACGUAUAUGUUACUGUAUAUAUUCAAUAAUACAUACAUAUAUUCUUUUUUAUGUUUUGUGAUUUUUUUGUGUGUAUAUAUACCAAUAUAUACACAUAUUAUAUAUCCAUUCAAUAUCUUUUUUAUUUAUUAAUAAUUCAUUUAUGUUUUGUGAUUUUUUACAUAUAUACUAUUACAUAUAUUCAAUAAUACACAUUUUCUUUUCAUGUUUUGUGAUUUUUUCUUGCUGCACUUAUAUACCUCUGUAUAUAUAAAUUAUGUGUCCGAUCAAUUUCUUUUUUAUUCUUACAUAUAUAUUUAUGCAUAAUACAUAUAUUUUUUGUGAUUUGUUACAUAUACACUACUUCAUAUAUUCAAUAAAACAUAAAUGAUGUUAUCUUUAGUAUAUUCAAUAUACCCUAAUAUAUUUAGAAUAUGAAAUAUAAAUUCUUAUUAACCUUAAUUUUUUGGUAAAUUUUUUUCGAAAGAUCACUAUACCAGUUAGUAACUGAUGUUCUUCUUCUUCAUCGUUCAUACUUUCACCACUUUUCUAUUAUUCUACGUCUUUUAUAAAGAAAAUGGAAUUAAUAUUCAACAUAUUCGAAGAAUGAAACUUUUACUUUAAAAAAAAAAAUAUAAACCCUAACCCACAUCCCUCAUUGUUCUUCUUGUUGGUUCACCUUCUAUAAACAAAUUGAUAUAACAUUUCAUUUAUAAAGUAUACAUUGUAUUAUUCAAUAUAUACUAUACUUAGGUGGAAUAUAUGAAAAAUAAUGCAAAAUGAAUGAAAGAAUGGAGGAAGUGAGAGAUUGGACAGUGAGAGAAAGAUCUAGAGAAGAUUUUUUAACAAAUUAAAUAACCAAAACAAAAAUAAUUAAGAAUUUUUUAAUUAUAAUAUUACCAUUACAGAAUUAUUGACUUACCAUAUUUACAUAGAAUAUCUAAUAAAUACAAAUAUUAAUCAUAAUCCACUUUCCUUUUUCUUUUUUCUAUUUUUUUAAUAUAUUAAUAAUAAUAAAUAUGAAUAAAUUAGUCAUUUCGAUCUUAUAUUUGUGUAAAAUAUUAGUCAAUUAAGAACAUUUAUAAAAAAAAUUGAGAAAUUUAUGUCAAUCCUAUAAUAUAGUAUACAAUUUUAGACUAUAUGAAUUAAAAACUCAACAAAUAAAAGUGGUAGAUGGACCCUUCUAUCUUGGGCUUUCUACACUUCGGGGUAGGCCCAUUAUCAUAAAUAACGAAGGAAAAUAUUGAGAAAUACUAGCAAUUAGAUUUUAAUUAAUAUAACAACGUAUUAACAAAAUCAAAAUUUUUUGUAAAUAUAGUAAAAUACGUCCAAGUCUAUAACUAAUAGAACAUGUUGCAAAUGUUCAUUUUACUAUAUUUGCAUUUUUUAGAAAAAAUUAUAUACGUCAUUUUUAGUUUUUGCGUUGGUAUGUAUAUAUAUAUACUUGUGUGUUUUCUUUGAAAUAAAUUUUGUGGAUGAAUGAGAUGGAAAAAUUGGAGUGUGGUUCCCACAAGCUACAAAAUCAAAAUGAAAAACCUUCAACCUAAGUUUAAUUUUUUUUAAAUCUUAUUGUAACAAUUGACAAUUGACACUACUUUUAUCGAUGAAUACCAAAAUUGUUAUCAAUGCAUUGAUAUUGAGUAUUGAGAGACAUUGAUAGGGAGUGUUAUAUGAGUGUAAGCUUGAUUAUGAGUCUCCACCUGAUUUUCCUACAGUGAGUAUUGAAUAUAUAGUUUAGAUAGUCAGUAAAUUCUACUACAUGCAUGUAUUUAAUAUCAAACCAUCUAUUUGAUAGGUAUGAAUAUAUAAAAGUAGUAGCAGGAACAUAAAUGAAAUAGAAAGAGUAUCAAAUUAAUUAUCUUAAUUAAUAACAAUAAUCUUUCCAUCUAUUUAACAAACAAUUUUUAAUGCACAAAACCAAUAGGAAAAACAAAGGAUUUGAUUUAACAUGCCUGUGUGUGAGUAAAUUGGAACAAGAAAUUCAUAUAUCUAACUAAUUACAUUUUUAUCAAUUAAUCUCAUCACUAAUCCAUAUAACAUUUCAGUAAUAAUUACACAAUAAGUUUCUCAAAUCUAAUCUUUUUUAGCACUUAUAAUCAAAGAGUGGCCCUUUGUUUCCAUUUUUUCCCUCCAAAUACUAAUCUCUACACUCAACCAUCAAAUACCUAAAGAUCUUAAUAAGAAUAUGAACAAGAACAAAGGUUCUAGGAACUAACCUGCAUUUUGAUUUCACUCCAUAUUUCAAGCAACAGCGGGCAAGUCCUUCAGCCAUGGAUCCAAUGGCUUCCCCACAGAGUAAACUAUGAAACCAAUGCGUCUCAACUUCACGGCAUCGACAAUGUUGCGACCGUCAAACACGAAUGAAGGCCUUUGCAUAUCGUUGUAGAUUCUUUGGAAAUCAAGUUUCUUAAACUCGUCCCAUUCGGUUAGAAAGCAGAGUCCAUGAGCAUCUUUUGUUGCUUCAUAAGCAUCCCAUUCGACGCGAACUUGUUUUAUAGCAGUCGGCUCAUUGGCUGAAGAUGAGCCGGAUGAUCCCAAUCGAACUUCUCCGUUGAAAGGUCUCUUUCGAUGUGAUCUGCAGAAACUUGUGGAUCAUAUAUGCUUAGAUUUGCCUUUUCGCCUAACAAACCUUUGCACACAUCAAUGGCGGGUGUCUCUCUAGUGUCUCCUGUGUCUUUCUUGAAUGCGAAUCCGAGGAUGGCUAUCUUUUUGCCUGAGGCAGUGUUGAACAUGGAUGAAACCACUCGAUUGACAAAUCGGGACUUUUGGUAGUCGUUUAUUCUGAUGAUAUGUUUCCAGUAGUUUGCUACCUCUGGAAGGCCAUUACAUUCACAAAUAUACACUAGGUUUAAAAUGUCCUUCUGGAAACAAGAACCGCCGAAACCUACACUCGCAUUCAAGAACUUCGGGCCAAUUCUUGUAUCCGUACCAACCGAAUGCGAUACUUCACUGAUAUCUGCACCAGUUGCCUCACAGAGGGCGGAAAUGGCAUUAACUGAAGAAAUCCUUUGAGCUAAAAAGGCAUUGGCAGCUAGUUUUGAUAGUUCAGCAGACCAUAGAUUAGUACACAGAAUGCUCUCAACAGGCACCCAGUUAGCAUACACAUUUUUUAGUUUUUCUAUCGCCUUAAUUCCCUCGGGAGUUUCCGUCCACCUAUAAGAACCCGGUUGGGAGUAAGAAGGUCUUGAAUAGCAGUUCCCUCAGCAAGAAACUCAGGGUUUGAGAGUAUUUGGAAGUUAAUCCCGUCGCUGUUGUGAGUCAAUAUCUUUUCAAUGGCCUCAGCUGUCUUCACAGGGACAGUAGAUUUUUCAACCACAAUCUUGUCCGAUUUCGAAACAUCGGCGAUCAUCCGAGCAGCGCUUUCCCAAUACGUAAGAUCAGCUGCUUUACCAGCUCCAAGGCCUGAGUUUUAGUUGGUGUAUUGACAGAAACAAAGACUAUAUCAGCCUCACCAACGUGUUUCUCAACAUCACAGCUAAAAAACAAAUUCUUCCCUCUACAUUGUUUCACCACAUCUUCAAGGCCUGGCUCGUAUAUAGGAAGCUGUUCGCUAUUCCAAGCAUCGAUCCUCGAAACCGAAAUAUCGACUACAGUUACCUCGAUGAAGGGACACUUGAGAGCAAUCACCGCCAUUGUUGGGCCACCAACAUAGCCAGCCCCAAUGCAACAGAUCUUCACCAUUUCUAUUUGAUUCAAACAACAAUCAGAAGCAAAUGAAAGCAGAUGAUUACCUAAACUAAAUGCAACUAAACAAAAUCUCUAAUUUUCUCAUCAAUAACUCCACAUAACACAUCUCCAUUCCACAAUCCAAAUUCCAAACUACUAAAACCGUAAAUCCUUCCAACUCUAAUCGAGAACUAAAUUUUGGUAUAACAAAAUAGUUAAGACCUAAAAAUGCAUGCAAGUAAUCAAUUCAACAACCAGAAAUCCCUCUAAAAUCACAGUUUCCACAACAGCAUUCAACACCCAGACCUAAAAUAGAUUCACCCACCUACAAAAGUUUUGUUACUGGGCAAAAUCAAACUCAAAGAAGCAAGAAAAGAACAAAGUAAGCAAAACCCAGAACAUAAAAACACAAGACAGCAUUGUAAAAUCCAGGAGAAGCAAGAUGAAUGUGUGGUGCAAUCUUAGAACAGAGAUUAUCUUAGAGAAAUAAGGGGAAAUGAAAUCUUGAGAUGAAGAACAGAGAAAAUAUUACCUCGAAUAUUUGAAGACACUCAAAAUUUACUUGCAAAGAAUGAUGAAAUACAUUCAUUACAUAUAUAGGCCAAGAACAGUUUGCGAUUCAAUGCAUUAACAUUUUUGUCUUUUACUAAGAAAAUGGCCCACUCUGUCCUCUGUCCAUUUACUCAAAACCUAUAAAUUUGUCCAAUUAUCAACCGGUUUUGAUUGCUCUACCUUCCUCGUUCCUAACAAUUGAAAAGAUGAUUAAAUACACGAUACGAUAUUAUGUCUUCAAUCAUUAAACUAGUUUGAAAUUAUGUUUUUCAUUUUAACAUGUGUUUCUGUGUUGGGUUCUGUUAGUUGAGUUAAACUCUUAUUACACAAUUUGAUUUUAAAUUAUUAAAAGAACGAAAUAGAAAAACAUUUAUACAAAUAUUCAAUCUUGGAUUUUUCACAAGAUAUAUUCUUCUUCCUGGUUUAAAGUGUAUUUAUGUGAUAAGCAUUUAAAACACGAUUUUAAAUAUCAAACUCGUCACUCAUGCCCUCUUACAUAUUUUUGUUUUGCAAUGACCUAAUGUGGUUUGUUAGACAUAGAGUCACAAUAAGAAAAGACAAGUGGUUAAUUACUGACUUCUAUGAAAAAAUUGUUAUUAUAAAAUUUGGUGGAGAGACGAAUUUCUCAUGAAAAUGAUUGAGAAUGUUCCAAACAUAUAACAUAUAAUGAUAUAUAUAUCAUUGUAGAUAGGACAAUGAUAUGCCCAAAAACAAAGUGCAAAUAAUUUAUUGUCUUCUUGUCUUGGUAACCGAUGAGGUGGAAGCAAAAUGUGAUAUGAUUUCACAUGUGAUGUGAAAUAAUUUGUUCAAAUGAAGUCUUGGUCUAUAGUUUAUCAAAUAUCAAAUUUGAACUUGAAAAGGUGUAGAUAUUAGAGUACGUACAAGAUCGGAAUGGAAUAAAGUUUGACUAGCAUCAACCAAUCCCUGGAAAAAAAAUUUGAAAAAGUAACCUAUAACUCCAAUUUACCAUCGUCCAAACAUUUGAUUUUUGUUUUAAUUUGAUGCUUAAGUUUAAGAUUCACACUUCUAAUAUUGAUUUUUUCAACCCAUACUCAAUUUUCGAUUUUUACAUUUACGUCUAUUGAAACUUAGAGCACUAAAUUGAAACCGAAAUCUAAAAAGUGAGGAUUAAAAGUGUCACCAAAUAAAGAAAAACUAGACCAAAUUAUAUUUUAUAGAUAUCCAUCCUUAAUCAUUGAGGAGUGCAAUUCUACCAAGAUUGCUUUUAAAAGAAAAUGGAAGUAGUUAUAUAAAGGUAAUUAACAUAUAGUCCUGUUGACAUAAGUUCUUGUAGUAAAAUUAAUUAUGAAAAUAAAAACUAGUAAGUUCAAAUCUAUCACCGUAUGUAUAUAUGUAUGUAUGUAUUGCUGAACUAAAAAAUUUCAUGACAUUUUCACAUUUGCCAGAAGAAAUUAAAGCGCACAAUUAGGACAACUCAAACUGUAGCCAAUGACAACAAAAGCAAAAGCAUCAAACACUGUAGAAUUACCCUUCUUUCAUAUUCUCAGAUUUCUAAGAAGCCAAGAAAUUCUUGAACCAUUGAACCGAGUCCUUGGGGUAUCUCUUCAGCUUAUCCUUGUAAUCAACAAAGUAAAGGCCAAACCUUGAAGAGAAACCAGCUGCCCACUCCCAAUUAUCCAAUAGAGACCAUACGAAAUACCCUUUCACAUUGCAACCGUCUUCCCUGGAGAGCACACAAACCAUAUUUACAUGACCAGACAAGUAAAAUCACCAUUGACAAUUGAAGAACAUGAAGAAGAACUCACUUGAUGGAGGCCAAAAGGUUUGUUAAGUAGCCGUUGUGGUAUCUGAUCCUCUUCUCAUCCUUCAAUGCUUCUUUGAUUGGUUUGAAUGGGUCAUUUGGGUCGUCCAUCCCUGUUAUAAACCCAAUAACAAUGAAUCAGAACUUUACUUUUUGUCCAAAUUUUGUGUGCUUCGGAGAGCUUUGUAUUUACCAUUUUCAGUGAUGAUCACUAGUGGGUUUCCAUAGUUGUUCUUUAUGUAAUUCAUCAAACUUCGCAUCCCACGAGGAACAAUGUAUAACCAUAUUGAAUUUGCCUGCAAGUUCAUAAAAAAAAAAAGAUUGAGAAAUUAGAAUAGAUUAGAGUCUUCGUUUUUUUUUUUUUUUUUUGUCUUCUGGUUUUGCCAAAGAUUAAAAGCAGUAUCCUACCCUUUCUGCAAUGGUUUUCAAACCUUUGAAUGCUGCAUAAACAAAAAACAGAACCAGGGGAGAGUAUUAAAAGGGGUAAACUUCAAAUUCUGAUUCUGAUAUUUCUAAAGUAUUCAAAAGAGGUGGUGAUGAUCAGAUUAAGAGUUCUUACGAACGGUGAGGGCGCCAGAAUCAGCAAUGGUGUCAUUCAGUGUGGCACCAAUAAUGUUUGAGCGGUUGUGAUAAGCAUAAAAUGUGGUGUAGUGAUUUAUACCAACAAAAUCCUGAGACCCUUUCACCAAAGCCGCCUGCGACGGGGAAAACGUCGGUAGUCGCCCUCCGACCCUGCUUCUCAUGGAGGUUGGAUAAUCUCCAAAGAUCAACGGGUUGAGAAACCUGAAAGUGAAUGAAAAUAAAACCCAAUAUGAUCACCUCCAUUGCACCAACAGAAAUAGAAUGAAACUGAAACAUAUUGCUAUGAAUCAUCACCAUCCAAGCUGAAAAUCUUGAGCUCUUUUGGCUGCGUCAAUGUCUUCGGUGGAAUUCGAACCCGGUUCAAACCAGAUAACAUCGAGCGACAUCCCAAUCACUCCCUUCUGUAUCCUCUGCAAAAAUUCCACAUUCUUUCAUCAAAACAUUUCACAAUCUCAUUCAAAUGAAACCAGAAAGCAGAAACAGAACAAUGUAUCUGAGGAAUACGAAUUUCAAUGAAAAAUAAAUCUCAUUAUAGGGUUUUUUUUUUUUUUUUCUUUCUUACCUUGUACUUUCUUCUGUAAAUAUCGGAGACAGUAGCAUGAGAGAGGAGAAGAUUAUGGCCAACAAUGUAAGGCUCGGUAGCAGAGUUGCCAUCCCGACAAGUUAUGUGACCAAGAAUGGAGCAACGUCCCGGCGCCUGGAGACCAAGAUCGUAGCCCUGUGUAGCGAAGGUAUGGGGUUCGUUGAAAGUAAUCCAAUGCUUGACUCGAUCGCCGAACUUCUGAAAGCAUGUUUCGGCGAAAACCGCGAAAUCGUUUCUGCAAUUUCGAAGGUGUGAACUGAAAUGGAAUAGGAGUUAGGGUUAGGGUUAGAGUUAGAGUUUAGGGAAUUACUUACAUGAUUUGGGGACUGAGCCAGCCAGUGUAUUUGUCUUCUAGGGCUUGAGGAAGGUCCCAGUGAUAGAGAGUGACAUAGGGUUCAAUUCCUAAUUGAAGAAGGAGAUGCAGGAUUCAAACACCAUUGAAUUAAAGAACAAAGAAAAUGGCGUGAAGAUGAAGAAGAUUCAUACCAUUGGCUAAUAGAGCAUUGAUGAAAUUGUUGUAAUGAGCAACUCCUGCGUCAUUCACCUCUCCAUUUCCAUCUAAUAUAUCAACCAAAAAUCACAUCACACCUUAUUAAUAAUCUCUUUUUUUCAGUUAAUUACUAAUAAUCUUUUUAACCAAAAAACAAAAUAUUUAUUAAAAAAAACAAAACACCAACAAAAAUUCAAUUUAUUAAAUAAAAAAUUGCAAUUUAAGGUUGUGUUACAUAAAUUUUAAACAAUUAACUAGUUAAGUCAGUUUAGUCUCAUGAUUUUAAAAGUUCCAAUUUUAUCAAAUCGAACUAGAUAUCUUUGUUGAAAUGAAGAAUAGUAUAUAUAUAGGAAAGAAAAGAGGAUGAAUUACUUGGGAAGAUCCGAGACCAAGCAAUGGAGAAUCGGUAGGCAUCCAUACCCAUAUCCUUCAUGAGUUUAAUAUCUUCCUGUUUCCAAAAUUUUCAUUUUUAUUUAUUUCAAUUCUUCUAAUUACAUUUAAUAGUUUGGUUAAAUCUGUUCUAAAAAAUGUAUGUGUGUGGUUACCGGAUACCGAUGGUACUGAUCCACUGUCACGUCUGCAUUACUGAAAUCAAGCACCUUUCCUGUCAAUGUCAUUAAAAUAAUAUAUUUACAUAUAAAAUAUUACAAAAUUUUAUAAUAUAUCAGUGUUUAUCAAUACCAUUAAAAAAAAUAUAAAUAUUUAUCAAUAUCUAUCGUUAAUAGAAUUUAAAAUUUUAUUAUAUAUAUUUUAGUAUCUUCUCAAAUUCCUUUUGAUUUCUAAUGCAUAAACAAUAUCCUUGUUUAACCUAUCGUGGCAUUAAUAUUGAGAUAUUGUUUAACCUAUUGUGGCAUUAAUAUUGAUCAAGAAGACAAUGAUAAUAUGUUGACUAUAUUUAGAAAUUAGGUUAAAAUUAUGUUAUGUUUUAAUUCGAAAUAUAUAUAACUUAGUUGACAGAAAAUUAUGCGUUGUUUUUUUUUUAAAAAAAGAAAGAAAUUCAAUUUUGUUUUUGGUAUGACAUGCCUUAUUUAAUUGCAUCCUCACUCGAUUAAUAUUAGGAUAAUUAUUUUAAUAUCAAAAUUAUUGAAGAUUAUUUAUAAAUUUAAGAAAAUGUCACAAUUUAUUUGAAAAAUAUAUUUCAAUUAAAUAACAUUUCAAAAUUAUAUUUAUAAACAUUUGGAUGAUUCUAAGAAAAGAAAAGUUAAGUUGCAGAUCAAACUUAAAUUUUGUUUAUACUUUUUUAUUUUACUUUUUUAUUUUAUUUUUCACUUUUUUUAUAAAAAUAAAUAAUAAACAAUUACCAAAUGUAUGAGAAAACGUAUCCCAAAUUGUGGGUCCUCUUCCGUCAUCUUUUACCGCGCCUUCGUACUGUAUUCACGUAGAGUUAAAAAAAACAAAACUACAAUGAGUGACAGAGUCAAUAAUUACGUAUAGAGUAUCAUGUCACUAAAAGAAUAUAAAACUAUGGUAAAAGUAAUUCAUAACUUCAUAGUUUAACUAAUUUAAUACAUAUUACGAGUGUUCUCUACAAACAUUUUAUGUUUCAUAAUUGAACUAAAUUCCCUAAAUGAAAAGAUAUGAUUAUGAGACUAGCAAAUACACUAUUUGAAGAACUACAUAAGCAUCGUGAAUAUUAUCAUUAUGUUUUAAAAAAUUUAGUCGUACUAGAAAUUUAAGAUGAUGGCUCAGUAAUUUUGAUUGUUAAUUUUCUUUUAAAAUAUCUUUCCAUAUUGUCGUGUAUUGUCAAUAAAAUUAUAAUAUAUAAUUAACUAAGUAAUAGAACUCUCAAAUUUAUUUGAAAAUUAGGUAGAAAAAGGAAAAAUAAAAAUUAACAGUAUUUUUUAAUGGAAUAUUAUUGAGAUGUAAGAAUGAAAUUUUAGGUCGGAAUCUCGUAAAUUCCUUUGUUGUUAUUGUUUUUCUUUUUAAACUCAAAAAUAUUUAUUUUAGUGCUAAAUUCAUAUUUUAGACAGAAAAUUUGAUAUUAAAAUAAAAAUUAAAAGUACAAAUAUGAUUACAAUUGAAAAAAGAAACAGAUGAUAAAAACAAUUUAAACAAAUAAAAUGACAACAUGGUGAAGAAAUAUUGGUAUUCACACGUUCUAAUAAGAUUGUAAUGCAAUCCACAGUUCGUAUCUGAAUUGAUCUUUUUGAGUCCGAAUAAUAUUAUUAAACUUAUUUCGUUUUGAAUUUUUUUUGUUAAAACUAUAUUUUUCUUUGUUUCAACUUGGGGUGAAUAAUUUGAAUUCAUAACCUCAAUUCAUGUCGACAUUUCAUUUUUGUUUUGCCCUCAACUUGACAUGCACCACUAUAUUGACCCUCAAGGAUUAAUAGUAAGGAUUAUAUUUCAACUUUUCAAAUAACCCUUACCAAUAUUUGUUAACAUUCCAUUUUCUUGAAAGAAACAAGAUCGUGUGAGAUUUUAAGGAUAAUUUUCUAGAAUUCAUGAUAUUUUUGUAUCAAAAUGAUCAAAUUACAAAACACAGAUUGUUUGCUUAUUUUGGAAAUGCCUUUUUCUUUUAUUUCUACAAAGAGAAAACUUGUUUUCAAGUAAUUUAAAAACAUAAAACGUAAAAACACAAAAUGAAAGACAAAUAAAUAGUUACAAACCCAGAUUUAAAUUACUUGAAGCAAAAACGAUAGUAACAAAGGCGUGCAAGAAAAUAGAAUUAACCUUAGAGAAAAAGUGCAAGGAAACAAAUCAGCUUUCCUCUUAAAACCAACUCCAUUCAAAGCUUAGUUUACUUCAAUCAAUCUUCUUUCUAACAGUUUAAAAUUUGAGGAAAAUUAUUUCCCUCUCUCUAAAAUUCUUUCCCCCAUCUUUCUAAAUUUACAAUAAUCAAUCAAUUUACGUUACACAUUUUCAAAUAACCAAAUUUCCAAUUAUAUUAAUAUACAAUUUAAAAUUUAGCUUUUUGUAAAUAAGAAUCCAAAAUAAAUUUAUUUGGAUCGUUUUUAUUAUCGUUUUUUAUAUAAUUUUUUCAAUUUAUCAUUUUUGCUAAUUAAGAUUUUUUCUAUUUUUAUUUUUUAUAAUAAUUUAUCUUUAUUUUCUAACUCAAAUUGUCAAAAAUAUAAAAACUAACAAAAUAUUACGCUUUAAAAAUGGAAAUAGUUUUUUUUUUUUCUACUUUUGAAAAAAAAAACCCUCUUUCUAAACAACAAAUAUACAUACAUCAUAAUAGUUAAAAUGAUAUACCUAAUAAAUAGUAUAUUUUAAGGGUAUAUAUAUAUAUAAAGUAUACACCAUUAAAUAAAAUAACUAUAACAUUAAUUAAUAAUAUAAAAAAAAAAAAAACUGCACAAAUUAAAUCCUUGUCUCUUUCACAUGCCAGAAAAAUUCCAUCCAAUAUAGUUUUCUAUACUUUUUCUAGAAUAACAUUAAUAACAUAACAUAUUUAUUUCUUUUUAUGAUUACAAAUCAAAUCCUUAUCUCUUUCCUAUUAUCCCUUUUUUCCAGAAAUUAUUUCAAUCUAUGCAGUGUUCUUAUGCCCAAAAAACCAACAACUGCAUGUGUGUUCAAAAUAUACUUUUCGAGUAAUAUAAUAAAAACAAAGUUACAAAUAAUAAUAAAAAAAAAAGUUUUUCUAUAUUUUGUAAAUAUUUUUAAUAAAACAAAAGCACAUACCUCUGAUUGAGUUUAAAAUCACUUCGGUGGAGAAAUUGAUGUUGCAACGUUAAAUUUUAAAAAAAGUAUUAUAACCUUGAAAUUGAAAAAUACGAUUGUUCUAAAUAUUGCAAUAUUACAAAUAACGCCCUCAUAUAUUAUUUUAAUUAUUUCUAAAACUGGACAAAUUAUAUAAACUACCAAAAAGUUGGAUCAUAAGUAUUCCAAUUGUACCCUCACUCAAACUUCCUACUACCCAAACCCAAUCCUAAGCUUAAAAAAUUGUAAAAAUGGUAUAAGUUUGAGUGUUUAAUUUCUAUCGUUUUUUUAUUUAGAAGUAUAUUAUUUUCAUAUCUGGAAAUAAUAAUUAAGAAAACGUUUAAAAAAUAAGAAAUAAAUAAAGGAACCUGAAAAGCAGAGGAGGCAGUUCCGAAAACAAAUCCGCUCGGAAAACUGCUUCUGCUGAUCUGCGCCGAACAAAUCUGAACCCCUAAAACCACCAUGAUUACGACUAACACGCCGACGCCUUUGGUGGCGCCUCUUCCUCCGGCCGUCAUCAAGCCAAGAGAUGGAGAGAGAGAGAGAGAGAGAAUUUAAAAUUUUGGUUUAGGAAUUGGAUUUUGUCGGUAUUGCGUCGGGCAAAUUGAAGUGAAUAUGAAGAGAUGGAGAGAGAAUAAUGUGAACGGAGAGUGAGGGUGGCGAGGGUGGGGGAAAGAGCGUCAAAGAGAGAGGGAAUUUCUGGCUGUCCUUUUUAAAAUUGGCAGCGCAAUUAGCUUUUGUGUGGAAAUCCAACUAAAAAGAAAGUCCCUCAGUUCACACGCCUUCCAUUCAUUUAUAUACUUUUUUUUAUAUAUAUAUAAAUCACUUUUUUUUUAUUAUUAUUUUUCCAAUUAUGCUUUUUUCUUAGGCCACAACGUAUUGUUUUGUUGUCAUCAAUCCUAACUUAACAAAUUUAUCAUUUUCAUUUAAUCUUUUUUAAACUAAAGUAUUAUUUUUUAUCUUCAAUUUAAGUAUAGUUUAUGAAUUAAGUAUCAAUCCAUCCAUUUUUGGAGGUUAAAACUUUCGUAUUUCAUCAAUAUAAUAAAUUUAUAUAAUAAGAGUACACCAAUACUUUUUAUCAUUUAAAGAUUGAAAAAAUGUGUUAAUUAACAUUAUUGUAAAGGUACCAUCAUCGCUAAUUGAACCAAUUAUUCAUCGUUCUUAAGAUGAGUCCAAUGGAAAUGAUUGGACAAGGCAUUCCCACUUCUAUCCAAUGUGAACAUGAAUUUAGUAUUUAUUGGUUGCAUAGGAGAACACAACCCAGUUGAUGAAAAUAUUAGUUUAGUUUCAAAUACUAUUUAAAUUAUCAACCUCCUUGUUAAGAAAUUUGUACGUAUUUACCAUUACAAAUUAAGCUCUUUUCUUUUUCUUUUCCUCAAAUGAGUAAAUAGUUUUUCUAAUAUAUAUGCGAAUUACUGUUAUCUUUGAAGACUAAAAGACCUAGAAUAAUACUUUUGUUAAAUUGUCUUUUGUUUUUAUUUCAUAGCUGGUUUUUUUUUUAAUUUUAUUAUUAUUAAUUGAUAUGUUGAAAUUAAAUAGGCAUAAAUUUUAAAGUUAAAUGACUAAAAAUGUGUAGUUUUAUUUAAACUUUAUGCAUAAUCCCACGUCUAUGUAUUUAGACCAAAACGAAAAAGAAAAUAGACACAAAAUGGAAAGUUGUUUCCUUUUAUAAUUUAACUUAUUUUUAAAGUUUUACAUAAUCAUCAUUUCAAUAUUAAACCUUUAAGAGAAGGAGAGGAAAAUAACUGACAAAAGAAGAAGAAAAAGUAUUAAAUAUUUGGCUCCGUUUAGUAAUCAACUAAUCAUUUUAUUUCCAAUAAUUUGUCCUAUAGAAUUCAAAAUUUUAAGAUUAGAUGAGUGAUAUCGUUAAUCUAUGUCCACGUUAGCACAUGUUUAACUCAAAAGUGUAAAAAGUAGUGUUAAUAUUUGGGAAUAUUAGGAAGAUGUAGUUUGUACACGUCAUUAGUCAAAGGUCCAGCUGGGCAAUAACUCCUCCAUUUCAAUUGGAUAGGAAAAGAAAUUCUGACGAUCCUAUCACCUUUUGCCACGUUCACACUGCAUGCAUUGCGCGUGAGAUUAUCGUUUGUUAUCAAUUAAUAAAUUUGGAAUCACAAAUCAUAUAUGACAAGUUCCAGAAUGUUCUACACGCAACACUAUGCUAAGGAUGACGUGGUACAUUUUAUUUCUUUUUUCUUUUUUUAUAAACUCACAUGAUCACAAUUUUUUUUAAAAAUAUUUAUAUUAAAUGAUAAAUUUACAAGUUCAUAUCUUGUUAGUUUGAAAUUUGGUAGGAAAUAAGAAUAUUGAAGUUUAAUUUUAUAUAGAUGUUGAUGAAAAUAUAUUCAUGGCGUUUAUCAAAAUCUAUCGUAAUAUAUUUUAUAAAUAUUUUUAUUAUUUUAUCAUUUAUAAUCACUUUUAUAUAUUAUACUUUAAAUUUCACAUUUAAUUAUUGUUAUUUCAUAUUGUGGUAUUUUAAAAAUGGAAAAAUAUAUGUUCUAUAUAGUAUAACAUGUGAAUGAUGCAUGCAUCAAAUAGACCAAAAAUGAAAUAUUAAUUUUCUCCUAGCAAAGUGAAGAAAGAGUACAAGGAACAAGUUCUAUAUGUUGCAUUCUCUCAUACUCCAUUCUUCUUUAUUUCUAUUCAUUAAAUUUCCUAAAAUUAUACAAACUAUUUUUUAGAAGGAACAAAACACAUUUAUAUUAUAUAGACCAUUUUUUCAACCUAAAAAAAUAGACUUAAUCGAAUUUGUUCAAAUCAAAGAAAAAAUCAAGUGAAAAAGACUAAAAGAACAAAGUGUACGUUUCAAGGGCUCUUUGAGUGUGCAUGCGUUUAGUUCAAAAAACUUCAAAGGGUCCAACUCAACUGAGGUGGAAAAUUGAAAUUUUAGAUAAAUAAAUAGUGCAUAACGAGUCUUAAUGAAUUAAGGCAAGUUGUUAAGUCCCUAUUUCUGAAACCCUAAACUUAAGCAUGAAAUCUAGUGUGGUUAAACAAUACUCAUCAAACUAAUGUGUGUGCAAACGUCUUCUAUUAUAUUCGUUUUGAAAAAUUUGCUAACCAUGUGUAAACAAGCAUACACAGGUAUGUUUUAUAAUGAUUUGUGUAUCAUAUAUAUAUAUUUUGUUAGAAAAGCAUGUGGACCUUUAGCCUAUUAUAAAGUUACCUCUAUUGUUGUCCCACAUUGAUAAAAAUGGAAAAGAUAAAUAAGUAUAAAUAGUUAAGUGCCACUAAAAAUAUAUAAAUUAUGUUGAUGUUAAUAGUAUGACCUAACGGUCACCAUGCGUCUUGUCCCACGUCUACUUGAAUAUCACCUCAUACAUAUAUUCAAGUUUCAUGUAGACGUGAAAAUUCAAUUUUUUUUAACAUUGUAACAAUUGGGCUCCUAAACUUAUAUAAAGGGUCGAGAUACAUUAUUUCAAAAUCCUCCAUCUACUAUCGUCUUUACUAUUUUACAUUCAUCAUUUUCUUUUUUAAUUUUUCGCUAAUUAAAACGUUUACUAUUUUCUUAUCCAACUAAAAUAGUUUACACACUUAACACAUACUAUAUACUUUAAGUUUAAUUUUUAUCAUUUUAGAGGCUUAAAUUCUAUUAUUAUAAGUUUUGAGAAUUUACGUUUUACCAUUGAAAAUUUUACAAUAUGAUCACAAAUUAUUACCAUAAAUUAGGGUAUACUUAUUGUUUUGUAAUAUCUAUAAUGAAAUUUCAAUGGUUGAUGUGUUUGGUGAUUUAUUUGAUUCUUGAUGGAAUAAAACAUGAGAGAAAAAAAUUAAUGAGGAAUGUUGGUGUACCUAACUUAUUUAGUUUGAAUCAAUUAGUUUUGUGUAAAGAAAAAAGGUUUGCAAAUUAAAUUACCAAUAAUGUAAUAAUACAUUCAAAGAAGUCAUCCAUAGCCACAUUGAAAUAUAAUGUCUUUGUGAAUUGUACCCAUAUAAUAUUAUCUCUAGCCACAUGUUACAAACUUAUAUGCUUAAAAUCAUUAUUUAGUCCGCCAAUAUGAAUAAAAUUACUUUAAUGUAAAUUUGCUAUACGAGAUAUUUUCAAUUCUAACAAAAUAAAUUAAAUUAUUUAAAAAAUAUAUUAAAAUUUUAGAUUAUAUCAUCCAUUCAUUGUUUACUAUAAUUAUAAGAUUCAAAUAAAAAAUAAACUAUCGACUUAUUGUUGAUAAAACGUUAAUUCAUAUGAUAUAUCUGAUGUUGUAAUAAAGGUCCUAAAAAUGUCAAAAAGCAAAGAAAAAAAGAAGAAGAAAAGAACUACUUUUUAGAAAGUUGGAAACUCUUUUAUAAAUUUUGGUUUAAAAUUCAAAGAAAUAAAAGUAGAAUGUAGUUUACACUUUAUGACAAUGUAGACUUAAAGUUUAUAUUUGGUUUCGUGAUAAAUUUUAUUGAAAUCAAGUGUCAAUUUUUAUUACAUAGUAUUUAAAUUUUAUGAAUAAAUUUAUUUUUUAAUAAGUUUACCAACCCUAUACGUUUAAAAUAUUUGAGUAUAAAUAUAUAUAUUUUUAAUUCACGCUCAUAAUUCACACCAAAACGUGAAAAAGAAAUCAAACCAUGUUUUUAUAUUAUAUAUAUAUAUAUUGAUGCCUAUUUUUUAUAUAGAAGUAUGCCGGUAUAUAUUUAUUUCAUUUAGAGGUUUCUAUUUCAUACACAACCGCCGACUUCAACAUGUAUAUAUGUCUAUGCUAUUUAUGUUUAAAUCAUGUAAUAUUGAUAAUUUUUUUAAUGUAAACACAAAAAUCUUACCUAUAUUUUUCUCUCUCUCCUCUUUAAUUUUUCUACUAAAAUUAUUUUAUUAAUAAAAUGAUUGAAUGACUUGUACUUUAGUUAUGUUAAAACAAUGUAAAUAUUAUUAAAAUUUAUUAAAUAUACAUAAAAGGUAAUAAAAUGAAGCAAGAAAUAUUAAAGUCCUUCGUUUAAUUCUUUAUUUACAAAAUCAUUAAAUGAAAUUAUGAAUUCAUGUUUAUAAUUUCAUAUUUUCAAAAGAAGUAUGAUUUGGGUGAAUAUUUUAUCCUUUCAUUGUAAUUUUUUUAGUCUUACUUUAGCCACAAUUUUGUCAUUCACAUAGAUUGAAUGUGUGUGGUCAUUUUCACAUUAAACAAAAUAAAAAUUACAUUUCGUUAAUUAAUUUUUCAUUUCCUCGUUAAAAGAAAAAUGUUUUGAUUCCAUAACGGAUAUUAGUUAAUGCUCUAUGUUAUUAGGGGCUUAGGGCUACAAUGUAACUUUUCUAUAUGUUAUUUACACAACUAAAUUUUUUUUUAUCAUACUUUAUUCAGAUAUAUAUAGAUUAGAUGGUUAAGUUUGGAUAGUAUAAGCUUAAAAUAUUAAGAAAUAGAAUUUAAAUGGUGAAAAAUGAUACAUUGGAAGGAUGUAAAUAUAAAAAAGAUAUAAAUAUGUAAAUGUUGAAAUGAUUGUUGUUAAAUUAAAAAUUUUAUUGUUUAUUGCUAUAACUAAAUGGCUCAUUUUCGUAGCUUUCAAGUCUCACGUGCUCCACCCUCUCCUAUUUCUUUCCGUUUAGCAUCUCAGUUCCGCCGCUGCCGUUCUUCGGUUCGUGCUCGUACAGCAUCCUAUCUAACGGCUCUGCACUGAUUGGUAUUCUCCCAAUCUCCAUCUAUCUCUGUCUCCUCACUCGAAUAACGAAAGAAUGGAAGAUUUGUAUGUAUUAUCAUGAAUUUUCCAGCAUCUCCCUUCUCAGUCGAAGUAAUUCAAUUAUCUUUUAAUCACAAGCACGUCCGGCGGCUAUCUUUUAAUUGACCGAACAACCUCAACAAUAUUUCUAUUUUGUAUAUUUGUUUAACCAAUGAUGGUCUGAAUUUACUGAAUAUAAAAGCCUUCCUAGUUCCUUAUGCUUCAUACUUGAUACUCCACCCUCCAUUUAUUCUUCUUCUAUUGCUAUUAUUAUAUUUCUAUAGUUGAUUGUGUCAAAUUAGAGUCUGUGACUGUUUUGAAUGAUAGCUGGACGUGUUUCGAUUGAUUUUUUGUAUUGAAAAUGUUUAUGUUUUGGUUUUGUUACUUCUGACUAAUUGGAGAAGUUUUAUAGCUCCAUUGGUUUGGGCAUGCUGUCUUUUUUCGUGUGUGUGUGUGUAAAUUUCAUACAUCAAUGAAAUUUGUUUCUUAUAAAAAAGAUGAAAGGUUUGGAUGAUUUGAUUUGAUGAUUUCUUCUGCUGAGAUUGCAAUUUGAAACUGUGUGUUUUGUUUGAAAUGUUUAUGAAUGAUUCGGAUGCCAAAUCGAUGGUGUAGUUGUCUUUCCGCUUGCUAAUUAAAACAAAGUAAUAAAGUGUAAGUGAACUUUCUUUUGGGCCUGAAUAUCGAACUCGAUUGGGAAAACACCAGGACGGGCCAAAGAAACAGUUGGUUGGGAUGAAAUGUUAAUUACUAAUUCUGAGGAAGUUAAUGAGGUUGGACCUUAAUUAUUGAAAGCCAAGGAUUUUUUUUAUUAAAUACAACUUGCUUUUCAUUUUAUGGAUGGAGUUCAACUCUUUGUUUUUGGUGCUGUUUUUAGGUCAGUUUUUGUUUAAUCUCCCAGAAAUUUUUUAUGAGUGAGUGUCUAGAUAGCUUAUGCCUACCUUGAUUAAUUUCAGUCAGAAAGCAGAUGUAUUGAAGGUCAAUUAUCAAAUUGAAACUACCAAACCCAAAUCCACGGCUACGAUUUGAAAAAUGGAAGAUGAAGAUCCACCACUCGCUGUUGAGAUUGGCGAAACAAUUACAGCUGUCCAACAACAUGAAGAUGAUGGUGUUUCUGUUGGCGUUACAGUUAUCACUGGAUAUCUUGGAGCUGGAAAAUCCACCGUAACUUACACUCUGAAACUUUUCUCCUUACCCCCUCACUCGAUUUCUUUUUGCAACCAUCAAAUUUGAGCUAUAGAAUGAUAUUUCUUGUUUGGUGGAAUUCAGUUGGUUAAUUACGUAUUGAACUCGCAACAUGGCAAGAGAAUUGCUGUUAUACUGAACGAAUUUGGGGAGGAAAUUGGAAUUGAGAGGGCAAUGAUAAAUGAAGGUGACGGUGGGGCGUUGGUUGAGGAAUGGGUCGAAUUAGCAAAUGGAUGUAUUUGUUGCACUGUUAAGCAUAGCCUGGUUCAAGCCUUGGAGCAACUUGUGCAGAGAAAAGAAAGGUAUUCUCUUGCUGUUAUAUUAGAUUUCAAUGGAGCUUCUGGAAAAAUACGUUGAUGAUUUAGUCCAUCUUACAUGUCUCUAGGCUCGAUCAUAUUUUGUUGGAAACUACGGGAUUAGCCAAUCCUGCUCCACUUGCUUCUGUACUUUGGCUGGACGAUCAAUUGGAAUCAUCGAUCAAGCUUGAUUCAAUUAUUACAGUCAGUUCUUAGUUCUUGUUCCUUCACGGUUUGAGUUAGUUUCCCCAAGUUUACUUUGAAAUACGUAUUAUAGUUUGGAAAUGUUUGUGAAUUACAUGCUAUAGUUCUUAAGUUUAAGAAUGUGUCAUAUUUGAUGUUUGAUUGAAAUUAAGAUAGCCAAUGAAGCUUAAGUUUCCCCUUGUUCUAAGGUUAAAUUUAUGUGUUGGCUUUCGUUUCUAUGUUGUUAUUUAAUUCGAUUUUGUCUGUCCAUGAGUGGAUGCAUGGUGUAGUAAAUACUUGAAUACUUCAAACUUUGUUUUAAAUUCUUUUUCUAGUGAUCUAAAGGUUUCACCCAAUAAUAACUCCUUAUGUUCAUUUGGAUGAAUACAUGCAAGUAGGUCGUGGAUGCUAAAAAUCUUCAUUUUCAAUUGAAUGAGCACCGUAGUUCAUCAUCCUUUCCGGAAGCAUUUCAUCAAAUUGUGUUUGCGGUAAUAUUCUUAUUCUUAGUUCUUUUAUGGUCUCUGCAAGUUUGCAAUCUACCAUUAAUUAUGUCAAGCAACUGCUGGGAUCUUCAUUAUUUAUCAUUUUUCAUUCCAUUAUUACUUAGUAUUUUUGUUUGUUUUAUUUCUGUCUCUCUUGCUAUAUGGUUUGUUUUAUUUCUCUCUUUUGCUAUAUGGUUUGAUUUAUUUCUCUCUUUUGCUAUAUGGUUUUCUCAAUAAUUGUCCAAUGUGCACGCCUAAGAAGUUGUGAAUCUGUUAUCCAUCAUAGGAUACUAUUAUUCUUAACAAGGUCGACCUGGUCUCUUCAGAUCGUGGUGAUGGUGCAUUGGAGGACCUGGAGUAUGAAAUACGUAACAUUAAUUCUCUUGCCAAAAUCAUUCACUCUGUUCGGUGUCAAGUAGACCUGUCUCUCAUACUAGACUGCAAUUCCUAUAAUGCUGCUGUUAGUCAUGAACUUAACUUUAACCCCUAGCUCAUUUUCUAUUUUCGUAUCUGUCCUCUUUAUCUGAUACUAUUCAGUUUUUCCCCAUUUAGAAUACAGCUCAUUUAGAAGCAUUAUUGAAAGAAAGUCGUUCUUUAUCUACUCAAGAUCUUCAUGAUACUGGUGUUCGAACCUUGUGCAUUAGUGAAGACGACAAAGUUGACCUUGAUAAGGUAGUUUCAUGUAUUUCCGUUAAAGAUUGUGUGGUUCCAUCUUAUUUUAAAUUGCUUAGGCAUUUAAGAAUUUCACGACCUGGAGUGUAGCUACAUCCAUGCUGAUUUAUGUUUUAGCCAAAGAUCCAUUGAAGUAAUAAUAUUCUGAACUACUAAUAUAUCUUUCCAUUGGCUUGCUGAUCUAUUUAACGAAGUAUUUAACUUUCGAAGUGAUUAUAUAAAUCGCUCAUCUUCACUAUGAGCAUGAUGAUUGAAGUAGGCACAAUUCGUACAAGCAAUAUAAGUUACUGCCUUGGAAAUUCAUGAUAUUUCUCAUUAAUCUGCAUUUCAUAUCCGAUCUUCGUGAUGGUGCUAUUCUCAUGCCUACCUUAUUUUCCAAUAGGUUCAUUCUUGGCUUGAGGAGAUACUUUGGGAGAAAAAAGGUGGCAUGGAUGUGUAUCGUUGCAAAGGAGUUUUAAGCAUAAAAAAUUCUGAUCAGCUACAUACUUUGCAGGUAGAUCAUGUGCUUAAUCCUAUAGUUUUUGCUGUUGGAAAAUCACUCCAAACAGGCUUCUUCUUUAACCAUCGUCCUAAUUUCCCAUCCUUUGUUAAUCCGAUUUCCAUGCAUUCCUUUUGGGUUUUGAACCCAAAUGAAAAGGUUGAGUUAUUGCGACGAUACUUCCUAACAAGAACACUCAAGAACAACACAGAAAACUCAAGAAGACUCAAAUAUAAAAACAUAUGGAAAUAUACUGUAAUAUAUACUAUAAGAGAAGUAGCAAGAUAACCUUGCCUUCCAAGUGGGCUAGUCCAAAGGAAAUCUCACAAAAUUCCUCACUCUUUGCUCCUUAUCUCAUUCCCUUUAUUUAUAAGCCCUAACAAUACCAACAUUCUACUACUAAUCCUACUAUAUCUCUAACUAGGGAGCUCUUUUUCAUGUUAAUGACUGAUUUUGAUUGGUGGCUGACAGGCAGUUCGGGAAUUAUACGAGAUCGUUCCUACACGGCAAUGGAACAAUGGAGAAAGUCAGACGAACAAGAUAGUGUUCAUAGGUAAAAGACAUACAAAAAUAUCCACGCCCACGAACUCUUACAAUGUGUUUAUUGUUGAAACUUACACAUUGUCCAUAAUAUGCAGGUCGUAAUCUGAACGAGGAUGUUCUCAGCAAAACCUUUAGAGAAUGUGCUUCUAUCUCCUAAAUUUUGUUGCUUUACUAUUUGUUCGACUACAUAGGCAAACAAGGAAGAGCAUAUGCGUAGGUGAAAUGGUUUUGUAUGAUUUCGAAGUCCUUUUUUUGUAUGUUAACUUGGAUAAGUGUUUCCUAAAUUAACUGUCUUUCGGUCUUGUUAGAGGUGUUCUAGAAAGGUUUUUGAUGGAAAGAUUUGUGAACGAAGGUACCAUUGGAUGUUUAUUUUUCUAAAUGAAAGUUCUUUUGAAAGUUAACAUUGCAAUAAAAAUAUCAAAAAUUAAAUUAGUUAAAUUAAAAAAAAAAAAACAAGAAUAACCAUUAAAUUAUAAGAUUCCCAAAUUAUAGUUUUAAAAAUUGAUUGUUCGUUCUCUUGCGAUUCGUGCUUCUUCCAUUUGUGAGGGUGGUCGCUAUUGGCUUUCUUCUCUUCUUGUUAGGAAUUAAUGAAGUUUAUUUUCUUCAAAAAAAAAAGAAAGAAAGAAAGUUAACUUACAACGUGUACAUUGAAGACAAAGAAGCACAUGUUUUGAAUUUCCUAACUUAAAUUAUGAAAGAUCAAAAUAAUAUUGCAAUAAAACAAAAGUUUAGAUUAUAUAUUGAUACUCUAUAUUUUAAAAUGCCUCAUAUUUAAAUUAUGAAAUAUAUUUUAAAAAGUGCUGUUUUUUUAGGAGUUCUUAUGGAUUAAAAAAAAAAAAAAAUUCUUAUGGAUUUAAAAAAAUUUAAAAUUAUUUGCAAAAUAUAGAGAAAAAAAGAAAUUUUUUUUUGACAAAAUAUUUACCCAUCCUGAAACAAAAUUUACACUUGAUUAAAUAUUUAAAAUAUUUUUUUAAAGGUUCUAUUUUUAUGAUUUAUAAAAAAGAAAAAAGUAUAAAAUUUAUUAAAAAAAAUCAGAUAGAUUUUGCUCUAUUUUACAAAGGAAAUUUUUAAAAAUGGAAGAAUUUGCAAAUUAUCUAGGUCUAUAGCAAAAUUUUAAUCCAACUACAAAAUGGAUAACUAAAAUUUUAACCCGAAUUCAAACUAUUCAUUUUUUUUUUCUACAUGUAAAUAGUUUUCAUUUUCUUCUUUCAUGUAAAUUCUGGUUUUGUUUUAUAAAUAGUUUGGAUUUUUUUGAUACGUUUAAAAAUGUCAUUCUUUUAAUAAUUCAUUUGUUUGUAUUUACUCCUUAAAAAAAUAAAAAUAUACUUUGAACGGCUAAAAUAUUGGUUAUCAUAUUGAUUAAAAUUCUGUCAUGAAUUGUAUAUAUUUUGUAAAUUCUUCUUAGUUUUUUUUUGAGUCGUUCCAUUUUUUAAAAUAAAAUGAAAAUAAGUAAAAUUGAGCCCUAAACAUAUGUAUGUAUCUUCCUCUCACUUUCAAGUCUCACGUGCUUCACCUUCCGUCUUUAGCAGCUCAGCUCCGCCGCUGCCACUUUCCAGUUCGUUGUCGCCGCCGUUCUUCCGCUCGUGCCAGCGCCGCAUCCCUCCUAACGGAUCUUCACUGAUUUUCCACUCGGUUGUUGCUACUGGUAUUAUCCCAAUCUCCAUCUAUAUCUAUCUCUUCACUUCAAAAACAUAAAUUAGGGCUUUUCUAAUGAAAAAAUGGAAUAUUUGUUUUUGUUUUUGUUUUUCUUAAUAACCAUACCCGAAUAGCAACGAAAAUAGAAGAAACCCACCUUUUGAUUUGCUGCAUAUGUCUGUCAAUUGAGGCGUCCAUAUAUCUCUUUGGUCUCUGCUGAAAAUUUCCUUGCUUCUGCACCAAUGAAUUUUCCAGCUUCUCCCUCGUCAGUUGAAGUAAUCCAAUUCUCUUUUAAUUCCAAUGAGUGUUUUAUUUUAAUUGACUUCCUCAACCGUAUUUAUUUUUGUAUAUUUGUUGAAGCAGUACGCUGACCAGCGGUACUUUAAAUUUACUGAAAAUAAGAGCCUUCUCUAUUCUUUGUUCUUCAUGUUCUUGAUUUAAAAUAUGUAUAUUUGGGGUAAAAUAUACAUAUUUUUGGAAGUGGAGGGCUCAAGGGACCUAAAGAUUCUGCUUUUAUAUAUGGUAUGGAUUUUUUUAGGAUUCUCUUAAUGUUUUUGGAGAGAAAACAAUAUCAAUGAUUCUAUGAAAUUUACAAAUUGAGUAAUGGUAUGUUGAAAAUUAUAAUUGUUGUAAGCAGAGACGUGUGAAGUGUGUACAACAAUAUGAACCUAGAAAAGGUUUCUUGUGAAUCAAAGCUUCAGGAGAUCUACCAUUAAAUUUUUGUUGUUGUUCCUUUAAUUGCAUAUAAUCCGAUAGAAAGAAAGAAAAAGUUGUUGAUGUUGAGCCGGAGUGCCUGUUUUGCCUACUUGAAUGAAUGGUCCUUGAACAGGCUGAGCUGCCAGUAUUUUAUGUUGAAUGAGAAUGGGAGUGUCAAAAUCCAACAAUUAAAGGCUGUUUGAAAGUGAACCCAAAUCCUGUUUGAAAAUUGGCAGUGUAUGAAAAGAUGGUCUUGAGUCUCAUGAUCAGAGCUGCAUAAACAGCAGCAAUUUGGGGAGAGACUGAUCCAGGGGUGCUUUAUUUGAAUUGUGUUCCUUGUGUGGUUUCAUUUUAGAAUUUUAGGCUGAUUUCCCAUAAAAAGAAUUUUAAGUGUCUUUUGAAAGAACCCCUUUCUGAAUCAGUUUGUAUUGUCUGGAUGAUUGCUUUCUGACAUAGUUGAUAGGCCACUGACUUUUUUCCCAAUUCCCAGUUGACGUACUUACAGGGUGUAAUGAUUUCUAUUAACUAUUAUUUAGCUUACCGACUGUUUUCAUGACGAGAAAUGAUUUGUUUCCCAGUGGGCACAGUAGGUGUCUAAUUGAGAGAGAGAGUGCUGAGUGUGUAAUUUUCUGCUAUUGAUAAGGGAGAUUGAGUUACUUGUUUCUGAAUAUGAGAAGUUUUGAGUUUAUGGCCUUAACGCUUGACUUCUUGCUUUUAAAAUCAAGAUUUUGAUAGAACACUGAUACAAUGUUUCUAUUUUAUUGAUACCUUCAACAGAAUUACAAUAUAAAAGAAGUAAAAUAAUAAGUGAAAAAAGAACCCUAAUCGUCUGCCCUUCCUCUCUUUCAAGGAAUAGAGAAAUUUUGCAGCCUUAUUUCUUCACCAAAUUCUUCAUACCCUUCUUCCCUCCCCAACUUCCUAUUUAUAACCAACCAACUACCAACAAAUCUAAUUACACUUUUACCCCUGUCCUAUACUAAUCUAGGUAUCUAACAGAUUUCCUCUAUCCAAAACUUCUACCUCCAUCCCUUAUUUCGCCUGAAGUCUGUUCAAUCAGCUGAACUUCAGAUUACAAAAAUUAGCCAAGGGCCACAAAGAAUUUGUAGAAUGGUGACAAAUCCAUUUAAAUUCCGGUUUGGUGCAGCCACCACCCACACCAAUCUUUUAUACUGUUCUUUGGAUCUGAAAGAGUAAUCUGAACCUCUUUCUGUCAUCUCUUGCCACUCUAUAUUCUGAAUCUAGGUAGCUUCUCUGGCUUUUGUGUAUUUCUUCACUUUGAAAUGUUCAUAGUAAAUAAUUAUUGUGAGGAAAUGAACGUGGCCAGACCUUAAUUAUUGAAAGCCAAGAAUUGUUUGACUAAAUACAACUAGCUCUUCAUUUAAAGGAGUUCAAUCAUUAAGAGGUAAAAAGGAAGACAUAGUUUCAAUAACUAACUAAGAGGUCAUGUAUUCAAUUCAUAGUAGCCGCCUAGGAAUUAAUUUCCUACAAGUUUUCUUUCACCAAAAUGUUGUUGGGUCAGACGAGUUGUCUCGUGAGAUUAGUCGAGUUGUGCGUAAGCUAGUCCAGACACUCACAGAUGUAAUGGAUGGAGUUCGACUCUUUGCUUUUGGGUGCUGUUAUUUUACUCAUAGCUAUGUUUCUGUCUUUCUUAUUGCAUUUGCAUCUGUAAAAAGUUUUCUUGUAGUGUGUGAUAUUCAAUCAUAAUUUAUUUGUGUUAUUUCUCUGAUCAUUUCUUUUAAUGGUUCUACUUAUGUUAUGGAAUUACUUUUUUUUAAUAAAAAAGACACAUAUUCUUACUCGAAAAGUUAUUGAUGUUUGUUGUUUUUUCUUUGACUAUUAACAGUUGGAACUUCUCUGCUUGGAGUUCUCCAUAAAAUGGCGUUGGUUGUGAUCUGUGGCCAGCCAUGCAGUGGGAAGUCCACUGCUGCACUCUGCUUAGCUGAAGCUCUCAAGGAAUCAAAUGUAAAAGAAGCCAUUAAGAUUAUCGAUGAAACUUCUCUUCAUUUGGAUCGGAAUCAGAGCUAUGCCAACAUGCCUGCUGAAAAAAAUCUAAGAGGAGUUCUCAGAUCUGAAGUUGAUAGAUCUGUAUCUAAAGAUAGCAUUGUCAUUGUAGACUCUUUGAACAGUAUAAAGGGUUAUCGAUAUGAACUGUGGUGUUUGGCUCGUGGAACAGGAAUCAGGUAUUGUGUGCUGUACUGCGACGUGGAAGAAACCAAUUGUAGGAAGUGGAAUGAAGAGCGUCGUGAGAAAGAAGAAGCGAGCUAUGAUGAUAAGAUAUUCGAAGAUCUUCUCAGAAGGUUUGAGAGGCCAAAUAGUAGAAAUAGAUGGGACUCACCAUUGUUUGAGUUAUUCCCACAUAAAGAUGGAAUCGAGAAAUCAUCUCAGGUUAUUCUAGAUGCUGUAUCAUACCUGACUAAAACAGUGGACUCAAAGUCUCGUGAUGUAAAAAUUUUACAGCCAACAAUUGCUACUCAGAGCUCUCGAUUUUCGGAGGCUAACUCUCUAUAUGAGUUGGACAAAGCGACGCAAGAGGUGGUUAAUGCUAUUGUAGAAGCCCAAUCUCUGGGAGGGCCUCUGAAUAGUAUCUCUCUGGGUCAGGAAUUACCAACCAUUGACAUUUCAAGGUCGGUUGGACUACCGGAGCUUCGAAGACUACGGAGAACUUUCAUCAAACUAACAGGGCAAACUAGUUUAAGCGGACGACCACCACCCUCUGAUGCCGAGAGUGCCAAGAGGAUGUUUGUUGACUACCUGAAUAGGGAACUGGGGACUUCUUGAAAGUUGAAACUAGAUUAACCUGAAUGAUAAGCUGUAUACUUGUAGCAUAUGAACUACCAAACUUUACAAAGCAAGAGGUAACAGAGAUAUCACUCUUCUUUCUGGCAACUUUGCCAUCAAUUAUUUAAGCUUUGUUGUUAUCGAUGUUUUUUCUCUUAGUAAUCAUAAUAUCUAUGUCCUCGCUGUUACAGAACUAUAGUCAUAUUCUGACAUGAGAUUUUCAGCUCAUACGGUUCCUUGAGGGUCGUAAAUAAAUCUAAGGAGCACAUCAGGAUUAUUUGUAGAUUAUGCUUUGGAAAAUUACGGUCCUUAUAUAUUCACACACACAUGAUAUAUACAUAUACAUAGUUAAUGAGUUAAUUCAAAGAGAAAAUGAGUGAAUCUUUGGUUUCUUCUUUAAAACGAGUUCCAAGAUUGUGUAAUUGUUCUAUUAAUGAGUUCAUACUUUGUUCAUGCUUUUGAUGUGAAUGAGUUUCUUUCUUUGAUAAUGCAUUUCAUGGGUCUUUUAAUGAGUUAAUUUUAUGGUUCGACUGCUGCUCAGACAACUCUACAAGAUAGGGUAUCUAUCGAGACACUGGAUAGGAUCGGGGAAGGGAGGUAUUAUAGAAGUGCAUUUAGAGUCAGAAGUACUUUCUUUAUAUGAGUAGGAAUAGGUACACUGAGAAUAGAGGAAGGGUAUCUAUCAAGGUCUUUCUUGAUUCCGGAAUUCUUAGAAUAAGAUCUCGAAUGAGACAAAGCAAUCACUCUUCCAGAGUAUCUUAGAUUAGGAGUCUUGCUUCCCGUAUCAUAAUAGGAGCUGCUUGACCAAUAGAGAAUAGAGCCGGAAGUCUCUCUUUUUGUUUCAUAGUCAGAAGUACUCUCUUUCUUGAGUUGCAACAAUAGGAAGAGCUCCUCUCAUUGUGCACAUUGAAUAAACCCUUCUCAGUUGUUUCAGAGUCAGACCUGGACAAGUUCUAGAGUAAGAAGAAGGGAGGGAGACAUGAUCGAUUGGAGGAGAAAGAGUUAGAGGUUAGAGAAGUUUCUCUUUCAUGAGUCACUGAACUAAAUAGGGUUCGAAUCCGAAUUGCAAAGAAACCUGUGGGGUAUGCUGCAAGACAAAUAUCUUAUUUCGGACUUCUUAUCAUAUCUAGCCUCUUAUCUUCUGCUGCUGCACGUCUUGGGUUGAGUCGAGCAACUUUUCCCUUCAUUAACUUCUUCCACGGAGAAUGACAUUGCACUUCUGUAAGAGUGAAAGAAUAGUGCGAGCUUCCCCCUGAUGUAGUCGAAAGAUCUAAUCCCACCGACCACCCUACAACGGGGGACCCGGACUAUGAAGAAAGAUCUCCUGCUUCCGCAACUUAUGAAAAGAGGUCAAGCUCUUGGCUCCUUUCCAUGAGAGAGAUCAGAUGUGCUCCGGUGGGGAAAGCUGAGUAGUUCAGUUGCCUUUGAUUGUGAGUUCAUUGGGAAUCUUUGAAAUCACCUCAAGGCUCAACCUAUAGAGGAGAGGAACUUGGUUAGUUUAUCUUUUCCAAUACUCAAAUAAAUAUUAGAUAAAUGUCUAUUUUUAUCUUGAAUUUCAAUUCUCAUCAAAUUAUUGAAGUUAAGUGCCUGGAAAAUAUUUUGUUUUUAUAAAAGAUUAUGUUUUACAAAUAUAUUUUAAAAAGUGAUUUUAAAAAAAUAAUAAUAAUAAAGAGCGCUUCAUAUACUCUUUAUAGAAAAAACCACUAAAAACCAAAUUUUAUCACAUUUAUUUUUCUAUGGAGUGUUUUAAGUUAUAAAAUAUUAAGUAUACAAAAUUGGUAAAUUUUCAAAUAAUGAAGACAUUAGGGAUUUUUCUUUUAAUUAAAAUUAUAUACUUUUUAAUUGGAAAAUUGUCAAAGAAAAAAUUGAACAAAAUACUUACCUUUCAUAAAAAAAAAUGAAUUAUUAUUCUUUUAGUGGUUUUUUCUUUAGAAAAAUGAUUUUUUUUUUUUUUUUUUUGAAGUUUAUAGUUUGUUUUUCUUUUUAUUACUCUUGAAAGUAAACCUCUUUUUAAUUUGAAUAUUAGUCAAAGUUGAAUUUUUACAAAACUAUUGUUGAAAUUAUUGAAUUUAGUUUUACAUUACGUUUGGUCAGACUAUUGGAUAGAACUUAGAAGGUGGAAAUCGCAACAUUUAAUUUACCAAUUGAUGGAACAAUGAAAUUAAUUUAAACGAAUUGAUAUUCAUAUUAGAUUACGGUAUCUAUCUCUCACAAAUGUUAAAGAAAAAAAAAUAACAUAUAUACACACACAUUGUAAUUAUCAAGAUUUCAUACUGAAUCUGAUUAUUUUCUCUCUCAAUAUUUAAAGAAUUAAAAUUUUUAAUUUAAAUUAGUUAAAAAAAAAAAAUUCUCUUCUCCCAUUUAAGAAUAUCAAUGUCGAGAUUUCAAUUUUAAAGAUACAUUGAUGAUAGAAUAUUAAUACCAAAUUUAUUUAGAUUAAUAAGUAACUUAUUCUUACUCAAAAAUAAGAUUAAAAAAUACUGUUAUUAGUAGUCAUAUUCUUAAUCCAUGAUUAACAACAAUCCACGGAUUGUUCUAACCCUAUAAUGAGCAUUCAUGUCCAUCACAUUGCGAAUCAUAUUAAAUGGAGGCAAUGGGUUUUCUUGAGUCAGUCUCCUUGGAUGAUCAGAGAAAAUUAAUGGCAAUUUUUCACAAUUGAGCUCCAUUCAUUCAGUCUUUACAUCUUGCAAGUCUUCAGCCGUCAGUAAAGCAAAAAGGAAUAAUUAAUUUGAACAACGAUGAAUGAAUCUGUGAAUGUUUUGCUAAUCAAGCUACGCACGGACAAAACUUGAGGGAGGAAAACUCAAUUGAACGAAAAAAUCAAUCGGUGAUGAAAGAAAAUAUGCUGCAUUCAACAUAGAAGAAUGUACUGAUAAUUAAAAGAUAACUAUUUAUUACCAAGUUGGUUUGUUGUUUAAUUACAUUACAUAACUAAUUUUCAUUAGUAGAGACGAAAUACUAACCAUGAACAUCUUCCAAAUAAGUUGAACCCAACUUACAAGUUAUGUUCUGGACUGCAAUCCACCUUUUUGUUUGUUGGUUCAAUCAAACAUGAUGUGAGGGGCUUACAACAAGUUUGAAUGUCUUCCUCCAUUCCCCACAUAGGUAUGACCUCUCCCUUUCUGUAAUCAGGCAGAAUCAGCAAAUCAGUUUAAUAAGAUCUUUUUUAGGUGGUUUAGCCAACGAGUAAAGUUGUAAAUUUUAGGAUAUUGUGAACUCAUUAGAGCUGAGUUCACAGGGUAAAGAGGUAAUAAAGCAUAAAAUUGAUGUUUUUUAGUUUGGGACCCACAAACUCUUAGAGUCAAUAAGGAGGUGAGUUCGCAAAUUCCUCCCCUUCCAACUCGUCCUCCUCAAACCCCUUGAGCCAAACACCUUCAUGACACUUCUAACUAUAGUGUUCAGAUAGAACAACAGAGACAACAUAGAAAGCUUAUCAAAGUAAAUAAUUUGCCUGAAAUAAGUUACUGUUUUGAGAGCAUUAACAAGUCAUUUAGCCAAAGCAGUAAUUGCUACGACCAUCCUAGAGGUGAGAGGUCAGAAUUCCCCAACAUCCAAUUUUUGUAAAAAGAAGAAACAAGCAGUUAGUUCUGAGUAUAGGAUCCUUACUGUGACAGAUAACAGUUAACAACCGCUGAUUUUUGCCACACGAAAGGUUCUAAUAACCAACCUUCACUUUUCCAACAACAUCCUAACAUUUCAACCAUUUUUGAGAUGUAUCUUCCUUUCCACCUAGUUACUGCUUGGCUGCUAAGUGAAGUCACUCUCGAACUUCUUUCCAGUUUCUAAAGUUAUUAAACAAUUAUACGUUUUAUAAUAGACAUGCAAGAGAAAAUAUCCAUUUUUUUUCCUCGUGUUGUUAAUUUCAGUAUCUCAAAAUGCCUAUCAUGUUCCUACUGGAAGCACAAUGACUGCAAUGAAUCCAGUCAAUUGACAGUGAUGGAUAUGGAAGCUGUCUUGUACAAUUUGAUGUGUACAAUUGCUAUACUCGAUAGAUCCAGUUAUGCAGUUACUAUAGUCGUUAGAUUCAGGCUCAGAAGCUACCAGUUCAAAGAUCCUAUCCGUAGAAGAUCCUCCAAAGACUGUUUUGAUCGAAGCUAAAGUAACGAUGCACAAGAGUAACCAGUUUAUAAUCGAUCUACGGCGAAAAUACACAAUGAACCAGGAGCUUUCCAUAUUCAAUUGUGAAACUCAGUUAUACAUGGAGUCGAUCAGCCUAAAUUCAUAAUCCAUGAUUAACAAUCCUCAUGUUCUUGUAUAUUUACUGCCUGUUAAUGACAGGGGUAGGAAUCAAUUGACUUCAGGUUGAAGGUGAUAAAGUUUUGAAGAACUGGGUUGAGGCAGAUUUGAUGUGUAGGGUUAGUUUUUUUUUCCUUUUUCCAUGUCAGCAACGCCAAAUUUUUUGUCCAAUUUUGUGCAGUCAUUCCUUGAGGUUCAUGGAUUCUCUCCUCAAAGGGGAAAUUGUUUAUUAUGAUUCUUUUUCUCUGUACAGACAGUACCUAAUGUACAAAUAUUGAAUAGGAAAAACAGGCACCAAAGCCAUAGUGGAUUUCUUUCCUUCUUCUUUGUGGCAGUGUUAUACAGUUGCAAUGUCAAACUCAAACUCACAUCGUCCAAGGACUUUUUGGGACUUGGCACUGCCUCUACCUCUAUUUUGGACCUGAAAAGUUCAACAUAAGAUUCUCCAGAAUGGAACUGAAUAUCCUUGACAGAUUUAGGGUGGUGUGUUUGUGAGUGAUUUUGAUAUGGUUAAUAUCAUUUUCUGUCAUGUUUAAAGGAUGCCUUUGUUGUGUCUAAAUCCACCAUAAAACAUUAUUAAAUCAAGUUAAUCAAAUGCGUUGAAAUUGAUUUUGAAUCAUUAAAAGUAGUUUCAAAUUGAUUUUAAAAAUGACAAAAGUGACUUUAACUAUUUGAAAACCACUCCCAAAGAUGCAAAAAAGAAAAAAAAAUCACCCUGAAAAAUAGUUUUAAAUUUAAUCAUUCAAAAGCAUUCUUAAAUUUUAUUUGUUAAGAAACACAACUAAAAGUGUGAAACCAAAUAUUAAUUUGAUUUUGAAUAAUUAGACAUGUUUUGAAGAGAUUAUGAACAUGACAAAAGUGACUAACCAUUUUGGAAUCAUUUCUGAAGAUGCCUUUAGCAAUAUGUUACCAUUGAUGAAGAGUUAGGGUCAAGUUUGUUCUUUGCUUUGACAUUCAUAAAUUAGGGCAGGCAUUAAGAAUAAGAAAAACAUCCUUACCCACAAAUAAAUUUGCACUUUAUCAACUAAUGUUGCCUUUUCAAAUCAGCAAAACUUCUCAAGUUCAAGCAUCUGCUAGAGAAAUGUAAACAAUGAAACAAACAUAUAACAGAACAUCAGAAAAACGUAUUAAAUAACUAAUGAAACUAAAAUAGUACCUCCAACACAUUACCGAAGAAGUAGAUGGAAAUCACGCCUCAAACACUUAAUCCUUUCAACUUAACACAGUAGAUAAGUUUGCUCAUCAACGUCAUGAAGCAAUUCGUUAUCCAGUAACGCAUUUCAUUUAUCUACAACAUAUCACAGAAAUAGAUGGAAAUCACCUGAAUGCCUAAUCCUUUCAACUCAACAUAGUUGUUAAGUUUGCCCUCAACGGCAUCGUGAAUCGAAUCAUAAUCCAGUAAGGCUUUUGAUUUAUCUUCAACACAUCAAAGAAGAAGGAGACGGAAAUCACCUGAAACACCUAAUCCUUUCAACUCAACACAGUCAAUAAGUUUGCUCGAUAACGUCAUGAGGUGGUUCAUAAUCCAAUAAGGCAUUUCAUUUCAAAUCUGUUACUGCUCGAUUUCUCCUCCUAUCUCUAGUGGUCAUUUUCUCCCCAUAUCUCUGAAAAAUAUCAGCCAAAUCAACCAAUCCAACUUCUCUCAACUUAUUCCCCACCUCUCUAAACAUUACCACCCCCUCCUCAUUCGAAUAGUAAUGUAAAAAUUUGUUGUAAUCAAACCUUGGCACUUCAAGCCCUCUUUUCAUAAGUCUCUCCACAUACUUUGUAGCCUCCAAUGACUUCCCAUUCUUCACCAACCCUCCAACAAAAAUACUAUCAAAAUUCACAAGUGGAUCCGAUCCUUUCCUCCCCCUUUUCCCUAGAUGUCCUUGCAACAACAUUAUAUAUGUAUGCAUUAUAGGCUCACACCCUCUUUCUAUCAUUUCCCUGAAAACUUGAGUUGCUUCAUUUGCCCUUUUCAACUUCAAAAGUCCCUUGAUAAAUGCAUGAUACACAUCCAAAUCAGGAUUCUCAAUUCGUCUCAUUAUAUUAUAAGCUUCUCUCCUCCUCCCUCUUGCUAAAAGUCCAUAAAUAAGUGAAGAAUGUACCGAAUUAUCAACUUCAAGUCCUCUCUUAUGCAUUUCGUCAAACACAAUGAAUGCUUGUCCCACCUUACCUUUAUUACACAACCAUCUUAUCACAAGACUAUAAGUUGAAGGAAUCAAAUCAUUCAUCCUAUCUGAUCUAAGUGCCUGGAAAAGUUUCAAAGCUUCGUCCAAUUUAUUGGUCUUGAAAAGAACAUUCAUCAUCUCCUCCACAGCUUCCAUUUCAGGCUCAAACCCUUCAUCCACCAUUAAGUUCCACAUCUUUGAAGCCUCAAUCAAAUCCCCCACAUUGCAAAACCCCUUAAUCAACAACUUAUAAGUAACCCCAUCAGCUUUGAUCCAUUCAUUCAAUUUCAUAACCAAAAACUUAGCCUCAUCCACUAGUUUACAGCCACACAAUUUCUCAACUACUCUAUUCAAAGUUACUAAACUAUAACAAAACCCAUACCCAUUCAUCAAAUGGAAAAACUCUACACAUUUCUUCAACUCUCUGGCCGUCGCCAGAGUUCUCAGAGCAACAACAAAGGUUUUAUCAUUAACCAACCGCCGCCGCCCCAUUUCUUGAAUCAAACCCCACAAGAGAUCGAUAUUUCGUGACUUCCCAACAACAUCAAUCAACUUGUUGAAAGAGACAGCCGUGUGAGUGAAAUUGGGGUGAGUUUCGGUGAAUUGGAAGAAUCGAUAAACGGGACGCCAUGAGAGAGGGAAAGUGUUGCAUACCUGGAGGAAGAAUUCGUGUGAGAGGUUGAAAUUACAGGCGAGAAGUUUGGUGUGAAGCUUGAGAUCGGGGGAGUUCUGUUGCUGAUACAAAACGGUACAAACACGGCGGAGAUGGGUCGAGUCGAUUGGCUGAGGAAUGUUGUCGGCAGCCGUGGAGGAGUCGGAAGUAAAGGGAGAAAAACGUUGAUGAAAGAUAAAGGAAAAUGAGAAAUUAUUGAUGAUGAUACGUCGAUAGGUAAUGGCUGCCAUUUUGUUUCGCCAUUAGAGAGGGAAAUGGAGAAAAACAUAGCAGCUCGAAUUUAUAGAGAAGGAGAGAAACCAAAUAUUGAAGGGGAAAAGUAUAAAAGUAUAAAAGUAUAAAUAAAAAAUGGAGAUGCAGGGGAUCGAACCCUGUACCUCUCGCAUGCAAAGCGAGCGCUCUACCAUUUGAGCUACAUCCCCAUGUUUUGAUAACCAAUUUAUAUCAUUUUUAAUUAUUAAAAUCUUAAAAUUUUUUGAUGGAAUAGUUUCCUAAAAUUUAUUAAAAAUAUAUAUAUAAUUAAUAAAGUAAAUUGAUUAUAUAUAAUUAUAUAUAAUUAUAUAUAAUUAUUAAAGUCAUGUGUAUUAGAGUACAAUUUAUUAUUCUUAUUAUUAUUUGGUUAUGUACUUGAAACGAACACUUGAAUAUGUGCUAAUGAUAGCAAACCUUAAUUGUGAUAUUAAAAACAAUGGUUUGAAAAGCAUAAUAGUAAUCUGUUAUAUGUUUUAAUAAUAACUAAAAAAACAAUAUAUAUAAAUUUAAAAAAUAUAUUUGAAAAAAAAAGAUAAUUAUAUAUACUAACAACUACCCGAGCCUAUUAUCCAAAUAUAGCCCGAGGAAGUCAUAGAAUAGCUGAAUUUUGAAAAUAGUGAAUUCAAAUCAUAUCUAACCUAUCGAAUAAAUGGAGGAAACCGAAUGUAUCCCAAAACUUGAGUGGAGCCAACCAUUAGAUUUGAAACACUGUGACACUCCAAAACUAGCAAGUUAUUUUAAUUUUUUUAGUUGUUAGUUUUUGGAAAUUGAAAUUCUAUUUUUUAGAAUUUAGUUUUGGAUUUAUUGGUUCGUGAAUUAAAUAUUUUUUUAUUUUGAUUCUAUCUUAAUUGCUUAUUUAUUUUUAUUAUUUAAAGCUUUUCUUCAAACUUUAAAUUAUUUUCUUAUAUAUUUAAAUAAAAAAAAUCUAUAAUUAUUUAAAUAAUAAUAACCUCAAAAGUUGGGUUGUUCAUUAUUGGUUAUUGAGCUAACACAAAGGUUAUUGACAAAAGUCAUAUUUUCAUUUACAUGAACGGUGAGUUAAAAAGCAUAUUAUCCGUCUAUGGAAUCCAAAGGAGAGCUUCUAAUUUCUAAAUCCCAAUUCCCACUCCUUCAAAAAUCACCAUAGUGAUAAUUUAAUACAAUAUGUAUCAUACAGAAUUAACAUUCUCAUUCCUCCAUUAUCCAACCAAACAAAAGAAGGAAUUAAAUACCAAAGCCUUUUUUUUCUCUCUCUCUCUUUCACAAUUUAUUAAAAUUUAUUUAUUCAAUGCAAGUUCAAAUCACAUUUCUUGAUAAGUACUUAAAAUUUGUGAACCAGACUUGUGUGCUAAGGCAAUUUCAACGGAGGUAUUUACUUGAGUUUGUCAAAUGAUGCAUCACCAAAAUUGCUUCCCAUUGGAAUGUUAUCUGGUGGAACAUGAAAACGGAGAUCACCAUCCAAACGCCAAUGUUUCCUGGUCAAUAAAUUUGUGGAUAAGUGAACAUUGAUGAAGCAUGCACUAAGAUUUAGUUAUUCAUUUACCAUUCAACAAAAAUUCCAAAUAUAACAAAAUUUAUAUUUUAACUUCCAAAGUUUGUCUAUUAGUAAGACUAUGUUGUAGAAGUCAAUCACCAAUAAAUUUUGGUGUAUUUAUAAAAAAAAAUUAAAUAUUGAUAUACACUUAACUAUAGACCUAAAAGUGUUGCCAUGGUUAAUUACCCUGUUUUUCAUGAGAAUUGUUAUUAUUUAACCAAUUUCAAAGAAGUAGAGGACCAAAAUAACUUAACGAAAUUCUAUUAAGAUGUCAAAAUUGCCCUACGGAAAGUAAACAGAUUUCCUUGAAAAUUUAAAGAAAGAAGCUAUUCUUGCUUCCGAUACGUACCACAAAAAGAAUUCUUCCUAAAUCUUGACUUUGAACUUAUUAGUCAACUUCCAAAAAUAAUGUUGAGAAAAAGAGGAGAGAUUACGUAUGUACCUGACCAUUAGAAGAUAAAUCUUGGAUUACAUUUCUAAAUCUUCCUCUCCAGAGGCUUUUCUUGAUUCAUUUUCUGCCACCUAAUGCAGGAAGUUUCCAAGCAACCUCUGAUCGAAAAUCAUGUUUGGAACCUAGAAGAAGAAGCAAAGCUACUGAGUUAGGUCCUAGGCAUCAAUGCAUGUGAUGUAUGACAGUAUAAGCAAGAAAACAGAACGUGCCUUGUCCCCGAAGAAAAUCUUUGUAUUAUCAGCAAUGGCCUCGAUAAAUUUUAGCUCAAGAAACUGGGGUGUAAGCUUCAACUUGUUAGCUUCAGCUUCUUUUAGUACACUGAGAAGAAGGAAGAUGAGAGAACAUUUAUGUCAUUAGGUAUUCGGUAUCGGUGCAACAGGCAUUCAUUCCUCACUUUGAAAGCAAAAUGAGAAAGUACCGGUAAUAAUUGGCAUCCGCGAGACUCUUUUCACGAGCAAGAUAGAUAUGGUUAUCAAUUUCUUGUUGUCUCCUGGAACUCUCCUUCUCCAUCAAUUUCUGUUCCAUGAGGAUCCUGCUAACAUUAGCAUUCUUCUCGGCUUCGCUAAUUGCCAUUUUUUUUUUGGUCUCUGCUUCUUUCUCUACUACCCUUUGGCUCUCUACGGCAAUUAGAACCUAUCCAAGUAUGCCAAGAUUCAUUAGAAUAAAUACAAGCAGAAAUAUGUAUUUUAUUGAAAUAAUAAUAAUAAUUAUAAUAAAAGUCUUGAAAGGAUGAACUUUAGGUUUCUAGCUGCAUAAAGCACUAAAUGGUGUAAAUUUGGACGAAAUUUGGUCCAAAACAUUAAGAAGUAGCAUGAAAAUAUGGGUUUCUAGGUUUCUAAAGCUCUAAGAAUCGUCUAAUGAACUUUGGUUCAAAACGUUAUUCAUAUGAAUAUUGUGGACCUAAAAUACACCUUCACAGGUAUUCAUGCUAAUUUUUUUAAUUAAAGAGGUAAACUCUAUUUUGAAUUAUUAUGACGUGUAAGACUAAAGAACCAACAAUACACUUAAUACAAGGCACAUACUUUCAGCACUAGCCUUUGUGAGCCUCUGAUUUAUACCUUGUUUGAAACUCAAACAAAACGAGAAUAAAGUUGGUUUCCCAUGUUAGAGAUGUACCUUUGUACGUUCCACUUCCAUGUCUUCAAAGUUCUUUCUGAUAGAAUUUGGGAUGGUAGGUUUGGUUACACGAACACUGACUAUUUCAAUACCAGGAGCAUAACGUGUACAGUCACCUUGGAGGGCAUCUUUCAUUGUUUCAUCGAUCUAAACAUGAAAACCAGUCACGGAUCAUUCAUACUAAAGAAACGCUUGAUGCCAAUCAAGAAAGAAUAUACGAGAAGUUUCAUGGAAACAUAAGCUUUUACAGCCUCAAUCAGAUUCCUUGAAAGAAUGGAAAGCUGAAGAAAAGAAAAAUAUCUGGCACAAAUGAAUACAAAUAAGGCAGUAAGUUGCCAAAAUACUCAAGGUGGACAAUUUCACUAGCUAGAGUUUACAAUUCGCACGGUGCUCUUAUCAGCUCUGCAAGCCGUUUGUGAAAAUAAAAAGAUGCAAGGCUUUAAAAGCACACACCUGAUCAAAGACAUCAAUAUAAACUUGUUGAAGACUGUGGGAGCUACAAAACUGAUUGAUCUCAUGAUGAAUUUUAUCAUAUAUCCAUAUGUUAUCAUAAUUCACACCAUAGUUGACCAGGGUGUCAUACACAUAUUCUUUGCGGAGGCGAUUGACAACCUGAAAGUAGCAUCCUUAUCAACUAAGAUGAAAAACAUGAAAAUCUAACAUCAAUAAUUGUGAAGGAAUUUCAUAGUAAUUGCACCUCUAUUUUCUCGAAGUUGAUCAUCACACCCCCUUAGUACCACAUGGAAUGUCCCUUACCUGGAUGUGGACAUCAAUUAGAACAUCUUCAAAAUAUUGAAAUCCUAGAAUCGACGUUAAAUUCUAACUUACUUGAUCGGUCUGGAGGGUCACUUGAACAGCCACAAACUGGGUUAUCAGUGGCAACUUCAGAUGGAAACCUGAAAUUUUUAACAUGAAAAAAAUAAAAGGACAUACGAUAUGCAUAACAACAAAAAAAGGUAGGAAGGAGAGACUUAAACCUGGAUCAGUUAUUGUCUUCAGAAGGGCACCUCCUCUCCAAUAUACCCCCACGUGACCCUCCGGUACUUGAUGUAAAAUAGAAAGAUUAUUUGACAAGUUUGAUUGAGAUGGAAAGAGCACCUACAUGUAUGUAAUACAGUUAUACAGCCAGUAGAAUCAACCAGAUAAGUUACAGUGAUUUUGUAAUUGUUCAUUGUACACACUUAGGCACAAAAAAUGGGAAUGCCAAAUAAACAUUUAUAAGGUGAUACAACUUCUUGACCACGUUUUGUGUAUGUUAAUCAGUAUUUGGACAACUAGUACGGAUCCAAUUGUCAAUUGUGCUUUCCCUCGGUUGAUUGUCCUAUGAAAACUAAUACUGAUCCAAAAUCUACUUUAUAUAUUAAACUUAGCAGACCUGCCAUGUGUGAAACGUAGAAUUUAUCAAGUUUACAUAAACCGUCCGCUGUUUGCUUCAAUUUGUUGAACCUUUUUUCUUAUACGACAAAAUUUGGCCAAAAUUUCUCAACUAUGUCAGACUCCACAUUUAAAAGCCAUGGCCGAACUAGCUACAAGAAGAUCAGAGAUUCAUAAGACUACUCUGUAAUAGAAACUAGAUAGAAACUUCUUUCUUCAUUUUUUAAUAGUACAUCAUUGGAUUUUGCGAAUCUCAUACUCAUACGCUUGAUGUUUCCAUCGAUGGCACUACUCCAUGUGUAUUUUAAUCAAUUGGGUAAUCUCUCUGUAACUCCCACAUACGGCACUGGAUAUGACUUAAAAACAAGUAAACAAACAAGUAUGCAAUCAAACAGUAGUACUGAUGAACUUAUUGUAAAUCGAAGAAACGCAUUCUUUAAUACAUCAAACCAACAAACUAACUACCAAAACAAACAACGUAAAAAUCGAACGUAUUAGCAUUCUAACUCCAUUUCACAACGGAGAAAAACAUAGACGAAGAAUCAACGCAUCUAGUUGAGACAAAAUACUUUGACCUCAGAUAGAAUAGAAACAAGACGGUGUAUCAAAAAUCAAUUGUCGGAAUCUAUGGCGUAAGAAAAUCAAAAUGAAAUUUCAGAAACAAAAACACGAAACCUAGCGUGUUUUGCAGUUGGAUAAGGAAUGAAUAAGAUAUACCAUGGAAAAGAUGGCCAGGAAGGAGGCGAAAACUAGGAGUAUGGAUGAGGAACUCCCGGCGGAUUCUGGAGGACGAGGCUGCGGAGAUGGCGGUUGCAGCGGCUGAUUACGAUCCAUGGCGCGGUCUCGGUGUAGAGAAGACUGAAUCAAAUUAGUGGAGUUUUGUGUAGACUCUGAUUGGCGGAUUGAAUUUAUACUGUUUUGCUAACGGAAGGUAAAAAGAAAACUGCUGCAAGAAAGGAAUUUCUUACCUCCUAACCUUUCACGUUGGGCUGAAAAUAAAAUUAAUGGAGAAAUGUCUUUCUAUUUCUUGUAUUUUUAGAUUUUUUUUAACAUCACUUUUACGUUAAAGGUUGAUUUAGUUCCUAAAAUGGACACUUACUCAUCAAUCAAUAGACUUUAUCAGCAAUAAUGGUAUGAUUUAGUUCCUAGAGUUUACAAUAGGUAUUGAUAUGAUUUUGUUUGUGUGGGUGUUAAUUUUAGGAGAGAUAGAUAUGAUGAGAAUUUUUCAAAAACAAAUUUUGAUGAUUGGAGGGACCAUACCCUUCUCAAAAGGGCUUUCCACGUGAAAUAAUUGUAAAGUUGAGUGAAGUUUGAAUAGUAACAAACAAAAAGAUAGAAACGAAGGAGUAGUUUGUAACUUCCACGUGAAAAAUAAAACAGCCUCUCCAUUUGGAUUUGGAUAGAGAGAGGAAGAAAAAUUGCAUUUGCCCGCGCUUCCAUUAGCAAAGAUGCUGUCUCCAACAAUGGCUUCGACUUGGGGCUCGGCUCCAUUGCACAUUCAAUGGAAGAAACCGAAGCGUCCGGGUGUUAUCCUUAACGAGUUACCUUCAUUUCUUCCCAAAGAAGUCUACAACAUCAAAGACCAAUCUGCUCGAAACCUCGCUUCAAGGAUUCAGAGGCUACCCGUAAGUUCACACCUGGAAAAUCUCGUACCAUUUCGUCGUUUGCUAGUUGUUUUAACAAUCAUUUAAUGAUUAUUUCACAUGGGUUGGGGAAAACUGUAAUAGAAACUCUCAAUUCGAGGAAGUUCAAGCUAUGUUUUUUGUGGAAUUCUACCUGUUAAUGUGACUUUUGAAUCGAAGGGGUUUUAAGCUAAGAAUUGUUCUUGCUCUGCAUGUAGGUCAGCUUCUCGGAUUUUUGUAUUAUGAGUAGUUGCGUUAAGCCGUCAAUACAGAACAAAGACUGUCCUGUGGUUCUUCUCCAUGGCUUUGACAGGUUUCUUUCACUAGUUAGAAAUAAUAUUCGUGUAAAAUAAAUACAACGCUGUUUGUUGGUUCUGUUAUUAUUGUUAUUAGUUUAUCUUUUCCUCGUUCAUCACAUCUUAUUGUUCAGCUCCUGUUUAGAAUGGAGAUACACAUAUCCAUUGCUUGAGGAAGCUGGUUUAGAAACUUGGGCUGUCGACAUUCUUGGCUGGGGCUUCUCUGAUUUAGGUUUGUCUAAUUGCUUUGUGUUCCUCUAUUCAUUGAUCGAUAAACCAUUUUUUCUCUCUAAUUUUCGUAGUUGCAUGUGAUAGAAAGACUCCCACCAUGUGAUGUGACUUCUAAACGUGUUCAUUUGUAUCAGGUAAUGAAAACCCUCCUGUUUAGAUUGUUUUCCUGUAUGUAUUUGGGGCAAAUUUCUCUUCAAUUCCAAUUCUGUUUCCUUCCUGUAUGAUCUUAAUAUGCUGACACUUGCUUCAUUGUUAUAACUUAUAGGCUUGUUUUAUUUUUUCAUCAUUGCUAUAAGCUUUUGCAUUAAUCAUUAUUUUCCUGUUCUCUUUAAGUUUUUUUUUUUUUUUCCUGAAUAAUUCUUUAUUAUCAGUCACACUUAUAUCUUGUCCAGUUAUGUUGAAACUAAUUAAGUUUUCCCUUAUGCUGACUAUAGCUUUGGAAAUCUUAUAUUAAAAAGCCAAUGGUAAUUGUUGGACCAAGCCUUGGUGCUGCUGUUGCUAUUGAUUUUGCUGUCAAUUAUCCAGAAGCUGUAUGUAUCUACCAGCUGGAAUUUAUGACUACAAAUUUGAAGUUAUAUCCUCAUGUAAAGUCAUUCCAGAGAGUCUUCCGUCCAAUAUAACGAGAUUAUUUCAGGUCGAUAGGCUUGUGUUGAUUGAUGCAAGUGUAUAUGCAGAAGGUACAGGAAACUUAGCUACCUUACCAAGAUCGAUUGCCUAUGCUGGGGUGAGACUUUGCUUACUUCUGUGAACAUUACAUCAAGUGUGCCAAUGCUAAGCACAUUUGAUGAGAGAUUGAUUUUAUGCAAUUACAAUUUACAAAACCACAAAAUUUACUUCAUCUGUACAUCCUUUCCCAUCCAUUUUACCAUACCAUUAUUGCAUCACCACAUGCUUUCAUGAUAAUUCUUCUGCUAAAAUCUUCUGGGAGAGAAUCGUUCUACUAAUUUUUUAUCUACAAAUUUGAUUUUUUGCAAAGAAAUUGACAGUUUCUAGGGGGGAAGAUUUUUACACUUGUUUCUUUUCUGAAAAAUCGUCUUGGAGACACUUCUUAUGUUUGCUGAUUUCUAUGUAAGUCAUAAGUUUUUUAAACUUUUUUAUCAGGUAUUUUUAUUGAAGAGCAUUCCUUUGCGCGUAUAUGUGAAUGUUUUGACCUUCACUGGUAUACCAUUUAGUACCAGCCUGGAUUGGGCCAAUGUAAGUUUUCCCCGACAUUAAGGUGCAUGUUUAUCAUGUAGUUGUUGACUUGAUGUGUAUUUUGUGAUAUUGGAAGUUUUGCUUGACAUGAAGAUAAAAUGUCAUGUCCAUAACCAAUUGACUUACAUCCUGCUUCGACUGUUCUCCUUCUACUCUACUUAUAUUUUAUUAGAUUGGCCGCCUGCAUUGUUUAUUACCUUGGUGGGAGAUGCGACUGUUAGUUUUAUGUUAAGUGGGGGAUAUAAAGUCAGCAGCCAGAUUGAAAAGGUUAGCACAACUCUUUUGCAAUAUGGUUGUUGGAAAAUGCAAAAUGUAUCUUGUUUUUUGAAUUAGAAAAUUGCAAAUAUAUUGGUGAUCAUAAGGAAAAGUUUCCAUUCCUCGUCAAGUUAUGUAGGCGUUUUCAUCAAGGGUUGUUGGAAUGUUUUUUUGUUCUAAGGUCAUUUUCAUAUUGUUCAUUCGACAAUUAUCAUAUCGACAUUUGAGAAUCAUUAGGUACUUCUGAGAGUUACGUGCAUUUUGGUUCAACAGGUGAAGCAGAAAACGCUUAUUAUAUGGGGUGAGGAUGAUCAAAUCAUCAGCUACAAGCUUGGAGUGGUUAGUGUUGUAAUUUAGAAUUCAGAAACGUAUAUGUCUUAUUCUCAUUGAGUCAAAGCAAUGUUACAUAUUUAUAUAGAGAAUAAACUAAACCCUAGAGACUAAGUAAAAUUACAAUAAAGGACAUAUGUAUAUAUAUAUAUAUAUCAUAACACUCCCCCUCAAGCUGGAGCAAAUAUGUCGAUCAUGCCCAGCUUGUUGCACAGAUAGCUUAUCCUUGUUCCAUUUAAAGCUUUAGUUAGAAUAUCUCCCAAUUGUUCUCCGGUCUUCACAUAUCCUGUGGACACCAACCCAUCUUGGAUUUUCUCACGAAUGAAGUGACAAUCCACCUCAAUAUGUUUAGUUCUUUCAUGAAAUACUGGAUUAGAUGCAAUAUGAAGUGCAGCUUGAUUAUCACACCAUAAUUUAGCUGGCACGGUAAUACUGAAGCCUAUCUCAGAUAAUAGUUGGUGAAUCCAUACUAUUUCACACACAGAUUGUGCCAUAGCUCUAUAUUCUGACUCAGCACUCGAACGAGAAACAACAUUUUGUUUCUUACUCUUCCAUGAAACUAAGUUUCCACCUACAAAGACACAAUAUCCAGAAGUCGAUCUCCUAUCCUCACGAGACCCCGCCCAAUCAGCAUCAGAAAAACAUUCAACUCUCGUAUGUCCAUGAUCUUUGUAUAGGAUCCCACGUCCAGGAGCAGCUUUUAGAUAACACAAAAUCUGCUCUACUGCAGCCCAAUGAUCCACUGUAGGGGAAGACAUGAAUUGACUUACAACACUUACAGAAUAUGCAAUGUCUGGUCGAGUCACUGUUAAGUAGUUCAACUUCCCAACUAAUCUCCUAUAUCUCUCAGGAUCUUUACAUAAUUCUCCUUCUUUAACAAGUUGCUGAUUUGGCAUCAUUGGAGUGCCACUUGGUUUGGCGCCUAAUUUUCCUGUUUCAGACAACAAAUCAAGUACAUAUUUUCGUUGAGACAAAUAAAUACCUUUCUUGCUUCUCAUCACUUCAAUGCCCAAAAAAUAUUUCAAUUGGCCCAAAUCUUUUGUAUAAAACUGACCCUGAAGAAAAGUUUUGAGAGACGAAAUACCCAAUACAUCAUUUCCAGUAAUAACAAUAUCAUCAACAUAUACAACUAGUAGAACUAUACCCUUCUCAGAUCGGCGAUAGAAAACUGAAUGAUCAGAUGUACUCUUCUUCAUACCAAAGCAUACAAGGGCUUGACUAAACUUACCAAACCACGCACGAGGACUCUGUUUCAAACCAUACAGAGAUUUUCGAAGGCGACAUACUUUAUCACUCUCCCCCUGAGCAACAAACCCUGGUGGUUGUUCCAUAUAAACUUCCUCUUGAAGAUCACCGUGAAGAAAAGCAUUCUUAAUGUCAAGUUGAUGCAACGACCAUUUAUUGGUAGCAGCCAUGGAAAGAAAUAGGCGAAUGGAAGUUAACUUGGCAACCGGAGAGAAUGUAUCUGAAUAAUCAGUGCCAUAGAUUUGAGCAUAACCUUUGGCAACAAGGCGAGCCUUUAAACGAGCCACUGUUCCAUCAGGAUUCAUCUUGACAGCAAACACCCAUUUACAACCAAUGGCCUUCUUUCCUGCAGGACGAGAUACCAAAUCCCAAGUACCAUUAUCAUCUAAAGCAGUCAUCUCCUCAAUCAUUGCAUUUUGCCAGCCAGGAUGAGACAAAGCUUCAUGAACAGAGUUAGGAAUAGAUGUGGACUCAAGAGACGUAAUAAACGCAUAUGUGGAGGGAGAUAACUGGUGAUAGGAAAUAAAGGAAGAAACGGGGUAAGUACACUUGCGUUUACCUUUGCGAAGAGCAAUGGGAAGAUCAUCACUUGGCGCUGGAUCACAUGAAGAAGGAAGCAUUGAUGGAGGACAUGAGUCUGAAGGUUGUGGUGGAGGUCGUCGGGAGUAGACUUGAGAAAUCAACGGGCGGGAAGGAGACACAUCAGUAGACAAGGAUGGUGUGGGAGAGGUAACCUCAUAUAUAAAAAGAUUGUCAUCCUCCCCCUGACACAAACUCGAUGGUGAUGAAGUAAAGGGUGUAUCUUCAAAAAAGACAACAUCAGGUGAAACCAGAUACCUUUUAAGGGUAGGACAAUAACAACGAUAACCCUUUUGAACACGUGAAUAACCCAAGAAGAUACACUUCAAGGAUUUGGGAUCUAACUUAGUAUGAUGAGGACGAACGUCACGAACAAAACAGACACAACCAAAUAUCUUAGGAGCAAUAGGAAACAAAUGCUUGGUAGGAAAAAGAACACGACAGGGAAUCUCACCAUUAAGAACAGAGGAAGGCAUUCUAUUAAUCAAAAAACAAGCUGUAGAGACAGCAUCAACCCAAAAGAUUUUUGAAACAUGCAUUUGAAACGAUAAAGCACGGGCAGUUUCAAGUAAAUGCCUAUUUUUCCGCUCUGCAACACCAUUUUGAGAUGGAGUGUCAGCACAGGAAGAUUGAUGAAUAAUGCCAUUUUCACACAAGUAAGAGCCAAGAGAAUGAGAAAAAUAUUCACCCGCAUUAUCAGUACGCAAAGUUUUGAUAGAGACAUUAAAUUGGUUUUUUAUUUCAGUAUGAAAGGCACAAAAAUGAGAUAAUAACUCAGAACGAUUUUUCAUUAAAUAUAACCAAGUUAGACGAGAAUGAUCGUCAACAAAAGUAACAAAAUAACGAAAGCCUGUUUGAGAUACAACUGGACACGGACCCCAAAUAUCAGAAUGAACUAACUCAAAUGGAGCAAUUGCUCGUUUAUCGACUCGAGGACUCGAACUAAGACGAUGAAAUUUCGCAAAUUGACACGAAUCACAAUUUAAAGAGGACAAAGACCUAAAUUCUGGAUAAAGUUUCUUCAACACAAACAAAGAUGGAUGACCUAAACGACAAUGGACUUCAAAAGGAGAGGGAACGACAGGACACGCCACAGCUUGCGAUACUUGAUGAUCAAAGAAAUAAAGGCCUCCUGACUCAUAUCCUCUACCAAUAAUCUUCUUCGUCACACGAUCCUGAAACAAGCAAUAACCAGAAAAGAACAUGACAACACAAUUUAGGUCAUGAGUAAGUUGACUAGUAGAAAUUAAAUUAAAGGAUAAGUUAGGCAAAUGUAACACAGAAGAGAGAGAAAAGGAUGGGGUAAGGUGAAUAGUGCCAGAGCCAAGAACAGAAGAUGUGGAGCCAUCGGCCAAUGUAACAGAUGGGAAAGGGGCAGGGGACAACGGUCUAGAAAAUAGGUGAGAAUUACCUGUCAUAUGAGCUGUGGCACCAGAGUCUAUGACCCAUUUGGUAGAUGAUGUAAGAAGACACUUUAUAUUACCUGGGGCAACAGUGGAUGCAAUCGGAGUAGAGGAAGAUGACGCUUGUAAUGACUCUUGGUAAUUCUGAAACUUAGCAAACUCAUCUGCAGAAAUAGUAACUGACGCCUCUGGUAUAUCGCAUGUGGAGGCUAUCUGAGCAUGUUGAGAUCGUUGACUAUUCUUAUAUAGCAAUUUCCGACAAUCACGUUUCAUAUGGCCUGGCUUACGACAGUAGUUACAAACAAUCUCUACAGACUCUGGUUUUCGAUGAUCAGUACUAUUCCUCUGAGGUGCCCGAGGGUUAUUGUUCUUGCUAAAGAGAGCACUACUGGGUUGAGGAAUAGACACACUAGUCGGAGAGCUUUCAAUGCGAAGGACUCGAGUGAAGGCAUCAUCUAAUGAUGGAAUCUUGGAGUCAGAGAGAAUCUGUGUCUUUGCCAUUCCAAAUUCAGGUAAGAGUCCAUUCAGAAAAAUCAUAACAGCCAUCUUCUCUCGUUGAACUUGUUGAACUUUAACAUCAGGACUAAAAGGUAACAACAAGCCAAGCUCGGCAAUGAUCUUCUUAAGCCGCAUAAAGUAGCUGGUGACAGACUCAGCUUUCUGUUCCGCACGAAAAAAUUGCAUACAAACUUCAAACAUUCUAUGCACUUGCUCUUUACCUGAGUAUAGAAAAUCCAAAAAUUCCAAAAGUUCUUUAACAGACUCACAGUGAUCAACCAAUCCAAUUAUCUCACUCUCAAUUGAAUUCUUGAUCUGAAGAUAUAAACGGGCAUCAUCACGAAGCCAAUCCUUCUUCUGCUUUGCAUCUUUUGGGGAUCUUCAGUCAUAUGAUCAUCCAUAUCAGUACUUCUCAAAUAAAAUAAAAUUGUCCGACGCCAAUCGUAAUAAUUGGAUCCAUUUAACUUAUGUUCUGUGAUCUUAGAGGCCAAGGGAAUAACGUUGGAGACUACCAAAUUUUUUAUGUCGGCCAUAUUGAAGUCACACGUUGAUUGUAGUCCACUCGAACAAAGAGAAAAUCAAUCCAAACAGCUGCAAAAUUGGAAAAAGAGACAAAACCAAUCGUGUAACCUUCGGUUUUCGUCAAACCCGAAUGUUAUUUGAUAGACCCAAUGGUACAGACUGGUAGGAAACAAUGGUUCGAGAUAAGCCAGAAGACAGAAGACAAAUCGGACUUCUCACGCGCUCUCACGCGCCGGCGCGUGGGUGAAGGUGACGAUGAUUCCGGCGGCGCGUGAAGGUCACGCGCGGUGUUUUCCGGCGAUCGGCGAAGACAGACUUGGGCGGACGGAGGUGGUGCUUCUUAUGGUAUGGGCGGUGUCGACAAAUGGUCACCGGAAGGUAACCCAAACUCCAAACCUAAUGGAGGUUGACAAAUGGUCACCGGAAGGUAACCCAAACUCCAAACCUAAUGGAGAGCUCUGAUACCAUGUAAUUUAGAAUUCAGAAACGUAUAUGUCUUAUUCUCAUUGAGUCAAAGCAAUGUUACAUAUUUAUAUAGAGAAUAAACUAAACCCUAGAGACUAAGUAAAAUUACAAUAAAGGACAUAUGUAUAUAUAUAUAUAUAUAUCAUAACAAGUGUUAUUGUAAUUCUGAAAAAUGAGACUUGGAUAGAAAUUGAAUUGGGUUGACAGAACAGACUGACAAACCCCUUGAAACUAAGUAAUUGAAACAAAAUAGAGAUUGAAUGUGAAAUACUUUGUUGUCUUUUGUCUUUUGAAUUGAAACAUAUAUAAUAAUAUUGUUACAAAUAGAAUAACUUCUCAUUAGUUGAAAUAUGCAAUGCAGAGGUUGCACUGUGAGUUGCCAAAUGCAGUUAUUCGUCCAAUAGCCGAAUGCGGGCACCUUCCUCAUGUUGAGAAGCCAAAUCUUGUUGCCAAAUUGAUUACACAAUUUGUUCAUGAAGAUUCCAGAAAAGAGGUUCAGUUUGUUAACAGUGAAUAAUUCUUCUUUGCACAUGCUUACAUUUUCUUCAUUUUAUUAACGAAUUUGCUUCACCCUGCUCAUGGAUUUUCAACCCUGACGUGUGUUCUUCUGAGGGCUGGAAGGUGCUCUACAUGUUUGAAAUCCAAUAAAAUAUGACGUCGUCAAUAUAAACCCAAACAAAAAAUCUGCUCUUGCUUGUUUCCUUUUCCUUAUGAUGGUGGAAAUAAACCCCUCCCUCGAAAUCAAGACAAGUAAUCCUAAGUUGAUGGAUACAUAUAUCUUCGAUCAAGAAGUUCUAUCCGUCUAUGUUAUUAGGUAAAUAAUAUUCUGUCCAUUAGAAUGGUGCACUGUAUUGGGGAAAGGAACCAGAUGAUCUCAUUUUGAUUCUCGGAUUGUUGUGGUCUUGGUGGGGCCUUGGUCUUUCGAAAUUGAUGUUCCUUCUUCAUUGGAUCUUUUAUCCUAAGUUUAUGGUAAAGUUUUAUGGACCAAUUUUGAAUUAUGGGAUUUUUUUCACUUUUUUUUAGAAAAUAAGGGUCCGUUUGGUAACGUUCCAGUUUAUGUUCACUUUUUAAGAAAUAGAAGUGUUUGGUAACGUUUUCUGUUUCUUGUUCUAAAAAAAAUAUAAACGUUUAUCAUUUUAUAAAGAAUUAUUGGGAACAAAAAAAGUAGUGUCACCCGUUUCCGUUUUUCAAUUAUUUCUAUUGGUUUUUUUUUCUCAAUUAUUUCUAUUGGUUUUCUUUUCUUUUUUUCAAUUCUUUUUAUUGAUUUUCUUUUCUUUUUUCUCAGGUUUCAUUUUCCUUUCCAAUUUUUUUUCUAUUUCAUUUCCAUUUUCCAUUUUUCUUUUGUGAUUUCUUUUUUCUUACUCUUAUUUUCAUCUUCUUUCCCAAAUAACCACUUGCCUUUUUCUUCAUUUUAUUUCCAUUGUCUUUUUCAAAUAAUCAUCAUCUUCCUCUUCCUCUCAUUGCCUUUGAUGUCUUCCUCUUCCUCUCAUCAUCUUCCUCUACACGACGCAUUCUUCUUCGUUGGAUUUGGGUUUUUCUCUUCCUCUUUGGGUGAAUUGUGUUUUCGUCGAAUUUGUGGGUUUUUGUCAGAUAUGUGUCUUAAUUGUGAGUUUUUGUCUUCCUCUUUGUCUUGGGUUUUAGUCCUCUUCAUCGUGAGUUUUCGUCUUCCUCUCGUCGACUAUGUUCUUCAUAUCUCAAUCUUCAUCUCAUUCACCAUAAGAUUACAAGAAGACCUUCUCUAAGUUUGAUAAUCUUAUGUUUUAUGUUUAAUGGAUGACAUAUAUUAAUCACACACAUUUUCUAUUUCUAUUUCUUUUUUAAGGAAACCUAAACCUUAAACAGUUAUCAAACACAUUCAUGUUUCUUAUUCUUAAAAAAGAAGGAACAGGGAACAAGAACGUUACCAAAUGGGCUCUAAAAUAUUUCACAUUUUAGCUUCGAUGUUUAGAUUGAUAAAGAUGGUAGUUAAUUGGUAUUAGAUAGUUCAAUAUCAUUAUUAACUUCUUAAAAAUAAAUGGACCAAUUGGUUAACUUGAAAGAAUAACAUACCUAUACCUCUUCUAAUAAAGUUGGAGAUUUGGAUGGCUGUAGAGGACUAAGUUUGUCAAUGAAUUCUAUUAUAAGUUUGUGUUAAAUAAUUUUAAGUAUAAUCGAGUUCAUUCAUAAAGUUAUACAUUUAUUAAGAAAUACAUCUCUCUCCAUUAUUUUUUUUUUCUUUAUAGAACCCUAAACAUACCAACUCAAUCAUAGCAUAAUAGCAUUGACCAAAAGUCAUAGGGAAAAAAAAAUAGUGAUUAGACUACACCUAAUCUCAAUAUUCUUUUAUCCAAAGUAAAAAUGUAAGUAAAAAAGUUUUUACUUUUUCUAUAACGAAAGGUGAUGGUCGGCAAAUUGUUGAGAUGGAAACCUUACUAACCACACACAAUUAUAUAAUAUAUUAAAAAUGAUAAAUAUUACUAACACACAAUUAUGUAAUAUAUUAAAAAUGAAUGAUUUAUUCCUUUGUAAAUGAUAAAAUUAUUAAAAAAAUAUUUAUAAAAUAUAGGAAAGUUUCAUAUUUUAUAAAUGAUAAAAAUAAACUUUUAUCACUGUUAAUAUCAUAUUGAUGAUAUUGCUGAUGUUUGUUCUAGUUUAUUGUAAAUAGAAUGUUAAAUUUGCAUUCCAACCAAAAAUUAAGUCAAAUGUGUUUUAUUUUUCUCCAAUGACUAUUUUCUUUCUUUAGUUAAAUAGAUUAGUGAAAUUGCUUUUUUUCCAUCUUGUCAGAUUGAAUUAAUUAAGAUUCCAAAAACAUUUUUCAAAAUUAAAGUUUCACUGGCCAAUAUGAGUUUAUAAAAAAUUGUUGUCAUACAACAUUUACUCAUUAAAUUCUGGGCAUGAGUCUAUAUAGCAAUCAAACAAAUAGUUGGUAGGUAGUUCAUUAGUCUAUUCACCACACCAAAUGUCAAGUGUUGUUUGGAUGAGUUUAAAAAACUCAAAAUUCUUUUAAAGAUUUAUAUACAUAACCUCAUUAUUAAAGUUGGGUAUCAUGUGUUUUCAUUCCAUUUCUUGUCCCACCCAUGUUGUCAUCCAUUCACCUCAUAAAUAUGGACCUUAUAUAAAUCUUAAAACUAUAUUUACCAUAAUCAAAUUCCCAUAAACUACUUACUUAGAGCAUAUUGAGUAACACAACUCAUACGACUUUAUUAUUAAAUGAAGAAAUUAAUAAUGAACAAAAGAGCAGAAUAAUUGAUUAGUGGGUACAAAGUCCCAUUAAAUUAAGGAAAAUACAGCCUCUAUUAGAUACACAAAAGUGAAAAAUAUCUAAGAGGAUCAGGUUCCAUUCUAGUAGAAAAUCAUACCACCACUCAAUAAGGAAUCAAAUUCUCCACCCUUUUCUUCUUCUUUUCUUUUUCUUUUUUCCUUUCCACAGCAAAGGACAUUAGAAAACAACCUUCCUAGCUUUUCCUUCCAUCCAUCCAUUCAUCCAAACAAAUCAACUAAUGGCCUCCAUCAUGGUUAACCUAACAGAACAUUGACAACCAAAAUGUCACAGUAGCUGUGAAGAAGAACAAGUUAGAGGCUGCUGCAUUGAGACCUGCAGCAGCACUGCCAUCCAUACUGUUCCCGCCCAGACCGACACCGCCUGUUGGGCUUAUCCCAUUCCCGAACACUGAAGGGGAGGUUGUGCCAGGAGUUGUUGUCGACGGUGGUGUUGUUGAUGGGUUUGUUGUGGUUCCUGGUGUCGUGCCGGGAAUGGUGGUUGAUGGAGUGGUUGAUGGGGUGGUGCUAGUCGGGGUACCUGUAAAACUGAAAAGAAAGGGAAAGGAAAAAAGAAAUGAGUGUUUGAAAAUUAUCGAUUGACAUGAAAGCUUAAGUUAACUGGUGACAAUAAAUUUAAUAUUAUAUCAACACUUUCAACACCUCUCUCACAUGUUGAGCUUAGUGAUUUGUAGAAGGUGAUACAAGUGAAAAUAUCAUUGUAGGGGUUUGAACACAAGACAAGUGUGUAACAAUAGAGCUAUUAUCUUGGAGAAAGAAGAGGACAGAGAUGACAAAGAAAAACCAUAUCAACAUCAGACAGCUUGUAUUCUUAGUCUAGCAAGUUGCAACAGUUAGAAGAAGCGGUUUUAGACAUUAUCGAUGAUAUUAAUAGAUCAUAUCUACGGUUUAGAAACUGUGAGAGGGAGACUGCAAAACUAAAAGUUAAUUUGUUAACAGAUUCUACCCAUAAGAUAAUUUUCAUCCAAAGUAAUAUAUUACAAAAACAUUUUCAACAAUUGUAACUUUCCAAGGGGAAAAGAUAUUCAAUAAAGCCAAGCUUGAUCAUUGAGAAAGAAGGGGAAGGGAAUUGGAUUCUUGAUAGAUUUUUUUUUUUUACUUUCUUUUCUUUUCUUACAUCAAGCAGAAGAUUCUCACCAACACCAACUCGAAAAGUAAAAAAAAAAAAAAAAAAAAAAAGACAACUUUGGGUUAAAAAAAGUCAUUGGAAUAUGCCACUUUGAGAAACAAAUUCUCAGUAAAAAAAAAUGGAGAUAUUUGAGGAUUGUUUAAGAGACCAGUGCUUUACUUUUCCUUAAACCUUUUCAAAUUUCAACUCAUCCAAAACAUUGAUUCUCAGGUAGUCUUUGUUUCUUAUUAAACAAAAUAUUCAACUCAAGCCCACUUUCCAUUUUGAACAUUGUUGAACAGAAAAACACAAUCUAAAAAGUUGAAUGUGAGAUCAAUUCUUCAAAAACUGAAAGAGAGUGAAGAAAUUGAAAUGGGUACCUGGGACUGGAAGGAUAAACACACCCAGAAGCUACGGCUGUAAAAGAAAAAACACAAGAAAAACAAGAAAAGACCCAAAAGAAAUGGUAAGUAACAAAAAAAAGAACCAAUUGAUGAAGAAGAUGAGUAAAAAUGGAAAAUAAAAAUCUAAUACCAGGAGGAGAUUGGCUAGGCGAGGCAGUGCCUGAAAAAUCACAACUCCCUUGAACCUGACCCUUUCUUUGAAAAUAGCUAUUAACAGCAUAACUGCAAUGAUCUUUCACAGUAUUGGGUUGAUAACAAGGGCCAUUUUGAAGGAUUGGUGUACAAUCAGCUCCAGCUCCACAAGCAUAAUCCAAACUUUUCUGAAGGGCUUGAUCACUCAGUCCAUCUUUACAAAUGCAAUAAGUAGCACCUAAACAAGAUUCCAGAAAAAGGGUUCAUCAGAUUUUUUUAAAAAAAAAUUAACCCAACAGCUUAUUUUCUAAUUUCCACUGAUUUCUUGAAAACCCUUCAGAGGGUUUCAACGAUUCUUGUGUAAAACCUCAUUUUAAGCUGCAGAAAAACUUCAAAUGGAAGCCAGUAAACAAAACCAAGAAAUGAAAAUGAAGAUUCCAGAAGCUUACUUGAAUGGGAAGUGAAGGCCAAGAAUAUCAGAUAACAGAGCAAGAGAACCGCCAUGGUUGAGGAAAGAUUCUGAGAGAGUACAGAUGAGAGAAGAGAAGAAUUGUGGAUUUAAGAGAAGUGGCAAAACCGGAAAAAAGAGAGAGAAAGAAAAAGAGAAUUAUGGGACAAUGGAGAUUUCUAGUGAGGAAGAGAAUGUAGAGGGCGGUGCCAGUGUGUCUCUAUUCACCUUUUUUUUUCUCUCUUCUAUCCUACUUUUUCAGUUAUGAUAUUUCUAGAUAAUUUUAUACUUCCAAAAGUUAAAACAUUAUUUGUUUCAACAAUGAACUAUUUUGGGUUAAAAGAGUAUAAAAUUUUGCUUACUUUGGACUCUGAAGCCAAAAAUUUUAGGAUUUCAAUUCAUGGGUAUGAGAUUUGAGAAAGUUAUUGCUAUUAUUAUUAUGAUAUAUGUUUUGGGUAAUGAUUGAACCAAAGAAAAUGAGUCUUAUAAAGUUGGGGUUUUGAUUAUUUUGAUUGAUGAUUAAGAGAGGAAGGUUUGGAUUUGGAUCAUUAUCACCCAUUAGUGAAAGGGAAGAGAAGCUUAGGUAUAAAUAAGGAUGCAGCCAAAAUGAUCAAGGUGGCAAAAAUUGACAGCAAAAGUUUGAAAUUUGGGGUUGCUUUGUAGUUACUUUACUUUUCUUGAGAGGUGGUUGAAGUGAUGAAUGGAAUGUGGAAUUUGAUAUUCUCUAGGGAUUGUGAACACACACAUAACAACAUAACUCUAAGAUGCUUUGUAAUUUGUACUUGUUAUAUGUACUAAAGUGAGUAUAUUGAAUUACAUAUCUAUAUAUAAAUCUUCCUAACUCAUUCCUAUAAAAUAUUGUUUGAAACAUAUCUAUAUUUUGAAGGACGAAUAUUUAUCAAUUUGAUCUCUUACGAUGGAUUCAAAUAUAGUAACCAUGCUAAAUAAUAUAAAAUACUCACACACUCUAUAAUGGAUUUCAAUAAUGCCUCGAAAUCUUGAAAAGAUUUAUUUUUUCCCAUUGAACUUUGUGUUUAAAAAAGCUCUCGGUUCGUUAAAAUAAAAUCAAAAUUAAUACAACGAUUACUAUGUGAAAAUUGAUUUUGUAUGUGAAUUUAUGUUCCAUUGUCACAAAGCAUAGGACCAUAAAUUUAAAUCCUUCAUUCUUACCGAUCUUAUGAUUACUAAGACAUUUGCAUGUCAAUUAGAAUAUCAUUAUAGAGUAUUGAGUUUAGGAAGAUGUUUAAUCAAUAAAUAAUAGUAUUUAGUAUAAAUGUAUGUAACUCAACUGACAUAAAUCUUAGUAUUUUAGUCGUAGAUUCUCUCAUCUUACCUAUCGUAAAAAUGAAUAGUAGUAUUUACAAGACACACAAAAGAUAUUUUUAUAAGUUAUCAAGAUGAACAUGAUUCAACUAGCAUACGUAAUAUAUUAUAAAUUUAUUAACGAGUAUAUAAUACUUUAAUCGGUUCUUUGUUCAAUAAUGUACAAAUAUUUUAACUCUAGGUCAAGAGUUUAUGUUCACAGUAGUUGAGUUGUAUUUAGGUCGGAUGAUAUUUUAAAAGUUAAAUAUAUAUUUUUUUAAAAUAUAAUUAAGUUGUUUAUAUUUAUAUCCAAAUUGCAAUUGUCUUAAAAGAAUUAGACUAAUUUAGAUCUAUUUGAUGUCUUAGUAGGAGGAUGAGAAUGAUUUUAUUUUUUAAAUAGUUCGAAAUAAUUUUGUAGUGUUUAAAAUUUGUUUAAACAAAAUUAUGCUUUUAACUUAUAAAAAUUUAAUUUUAAUUAUGGUUUGAAAAUAAUGUUGAGAGGUGUAAAAUCAAAUAUUAUAUUGAUUUUGAAAAUUAUUAAAACCGUAUUUGAAUUAUGUUAUAUAAUUAUUGAUUUGAACUAUUUUCAAUCAACAAACGACUAUUGCAAUUUUUUUAAUUUUAAAAUUGANNNNNNNNNNNNNNNNNNNNNNNNNNNNNNNNNNNNNNNNNNNNNNNNNNNNNNNNNNNNNNNNNNNNNNNNNNNNNNNNNNNNNNNNNNNNNNNNNNNNNNNNNNNNNNNNNNNNNNNNNNNNNNNNNNNNNNNNNNNNNNNNNNNNNNNNNNNNNNNNNNNNNNNNNNNNNNNNNNNNNNNNNNNNNNNNNNNNNNNNNNNNNNNNNNNNNNNNNNNNNNNNNNNNNNNNNNNNNNNNNNNNNNNNNNNNNNNNNNNNNNNNNNNNNNNNNNNNNNNNNNNNNNNNNNNNNNNNNNNNNNNNNNNNNNNNNNNNNNNNNNNNNNNNNNNNNNNNNNNNNNNNNNNNNNNNNNNNNNNNNNNNNNNNNNNNNNNNNNNNNNNNNNNNNNNNNNNNNNNNNNNNNNNNNNNNNNNNNNNNNNNNNNNNNNNNNNNNNNNNNNNNNNNNNNNNNNNNNNNNNNNNNNNNNNNNNNNNNNNNNNNNNNNNNNNNNNNNNNNNUUACUCAAUUCGACAUAUCAAAUUAAUCAAACUAUGAAUUUAGUACGUGAGUUUGAUUUAAAUUUAAAAUAAGGGUUGGAAUAUGGCCAAACCUUAAAAAAAAUUCAAAGUUUUAUUUCCCACUUAAUUUUAUUUGAGGGAAAAAAAAAAAAUUUAAUAUGAUGAUUUUUUUUUAAGUAAAAUUUGGAAUAUAACCAAAAUUUUAAUUUUGAAAUAAGGAUAAGGUUUCUACCGUACCUUAAUUUAUCUUGGGGAUGCAUAAGAAUUUGGAAUGAACAAAAAAAAAAUCAAGUCCUCAAUCUUAGGUAAAGUUGGAUUUAUGGUUCCGAUUUAAAUUCAUGAUAAAAAGGAGAUCAUAUAUGCAAGUUAAUUUAACUUGAAUUUUGGAAUUGAGAAUAUAUAUAUAUAUAUAUAUAUAUAUAUAUAUAUUUAAAAUAUUUAAAAAUUUCAACAUUUUUAAAUAUUUUAAAUAUCUCAAUAAAAGUAAACUUGAGAUUUAUCCAAAAAAAAAGAAAUAAUUUAAAAUAAAAAUAAGAUAAUUGGAUUAUCUUUUCUUUAUAUAUAUAUAUAUUUUUAAAAAUCAUUCCUAUUCCUUUUAGGAAUUGGAUUUGUUUUUUUUUUAAAAAAAAUAAUUAAAUAUCAUUCCUAAUCCUUUUAGGAACUGGAUUUGUUGGGCCUAUAAAUAGACUCAUACCCUACUCACUUAUACCUCAUCCAACGCUUAUUCCUCAUCCAAUCGGCAGAAAGGUAUAGAAAACUUUUCUUCUCCCUUUCUCUUUUUUUUUUUUUUCUUUUUUUUUGUGUGUGUGUUGUUUUUUUAUUCUGUUUUGUUUUUUUUUUUUUUUGUUUGUUUUUUUUUGUGUUGUUUUGUUUUUGUUUUUGUUUUUUUUUUUUUUUUUUUGCAGGAAUGACUUUGUCGAGCUUCUUCUAGGGACGAUCGGGCUUUUGCCGUCAGAUCUAUCGCCCUAGUUGGAGAGAUCGACUCUGUCAUCGUCGGGCUUCGAUCUUCGUUUGCAGAAAUGACUUUGUUGAGCUUCUUCUAGGGACGAUCGGGCUUUUGCCGUCAGAUCUAUUGCCCUAGUUGGAGAGAUCGACUCUGUCAUCGUCGGGCUUCAAUUUUCGUUUGCAGAAAUGACUUUGUUGAGCUUCUUCUAGGGACGAUCGGGCUUUUGCCGUCAGAUCUAUUGCCCUAGUUGGAGAGAUCGACUCUGUCAUCGUCGGGCUUCAAUUUUCGUUUGCAGAAAUGACUUUGUUGAGCUUCUUCUAGGGACGAUCGGGCUUUUGCCGUCAGAUCUAUCGCCCUAGUUGGAGAGAUCGACUCUGUCAUCGUCGGGCUUCAAUCUUCGUUUGCAGAAAUGACUUUGUUGAGCUUCUUCUAGGGACGAUCGGGCUUUUGCCGUCAGAUCUAUCGCCCUAGUUAGGAGAGAUCGACUCUGUCAUCGUCGGGCUUCGAUCUUCGUUUGCAGAAAUGACUUUGUUGAGCUUCUUCUAGGGACGAUCGGGCUUUUGCCGUCAGAUCUAUCGCCCUAGUAGGAGAGAUCGACUCUGUCAUCGUCGGGCUUCAAUCUUCGUUUGCAUAAAUGACUUUGUUGAGCUUCUUCUAGGGACGAUCGGGCUUUUGCCGUCAGAUCUAUCGCCCUAGUAGGAGAGAUCGACUCUGUCAUCGUCGGGCUUCGAUCUUCGUUAUCACCAAUUGAGCUUCUUCGUUUUUUUUUUUUUUUUUCUUCUUCUUCUUAUUCUUCUUUCUUUUUGUUUUUUCUUCUUUUGCUUCUUUCUUUUUUGUUUUCUUCUUCUUCUUCUUUCUUUUGUUUUUUUUUCUUUUCUUCUUUCUUUUGCUUUUUGCUUUUUUUUUUUUUUUUUUUCCUUCUUUCUUCUUCAUCAUUUUCUUCUUUCUUCUUCUUGCUUCUCCCCUUUUUUUUUUCUUUCUUUCUUGGUUGUGGUACUAGGGAGAAGAUGAAGAUGAAUCAUCUAGCUUGCGACACCUUAGAGCUGAUGAAAAUGAAUUCCAUCGGCCGGGUUGUGACACCUGUUAGAUGAUAAAGAUGAAUACUCUCAGCUACGACAUAUAGGAGAAGAUGAAGAUGAAUCCUCUCGGCUAUGACAUAUGGGAGGAGAUGAAGAUGAAUUCUCUUCAGUUGCAGCACUUGGAAGAAGAUGAAGAUGAAUCCUCUCAGCUAUGACAUAUGAGAGAAGAUGAAGAUGAAUCCUCUCGGCUAUGACAUAUGAAAGGAG
rnacentral:lncRNA from 1 species